AAGGAGACAACCUCUCUUGAACCACGAGGAACUGCUGAAAUGAUGACAUCCUUAGAUGGUAGGGGUAUAAGAAGUGAGAUAGCAGAAAUCCAAGAAGCCAACACCCAUGGGAAAUCACAACCAACAGCAUCCUUCGAUGGUCAGAAUGCGAAUGAAGUGGCAGAUGAAGCAGAAGAACAAGAGACCAAUGUAAAGCAACAGCUUUUUCUUGGUCUACAGGAAAAUGCAGAAACAACAGCAUCCUUGAAUGAUUGGGAUGAGAAACUGGCUGAAGAAGAAGAAGAAGAGACCUACUUGCAGGACCAAUUUCCAGAAACCAAUUAUGACUGGAUUAGUGAAAUAUCUCGCCCACGAAGUUAUUGGGAAGAUCGUAGGCAAACAUGGUACCGGGAGAUGCUUAAUAGCAGCUCGCAGAAUGAGGAGAUACGCCAACUUCUUGAAAGGUAUGCUGGCUUUUGCUAUAAUUCUUUAUUUCCUCCCCUUGCACUCACAGACAUACAACUCUAAUGGAAGCAAAGUAAUUACUUUAUGGCAAGAUUAAAUAAAAGGUGGUUCAGAGAACAUUUAAAUACUGUGUUUUGCUACAAGAGCUAGCUUCUUACAGUCAUUAUCACAGAUAAGAACCUGACGCAUUAAGCUUGGAACAAAACGCUCUCAUGGACCAUUUUUUCUUACUCAUAUUAUUUUUAUUAAUUCCAAUCAAUGGAAAUUAUUAUCAGUAAAUGGUGAUAUGAACUGAUGAAGAUAAGUAGCAUAGAUUGAUUAGUUAUAUGAGAAUAAAGAUAUAUUCUCAUUACUAAAGAUCUGUUUCCCUUAGAAGAUACAAAUGUUUAUCACCCUAUAUUGCAAAUUGAAUUGCCAAUUUGUGCCUGCAGAAGAAGAGUAUCAACUUUUCUUUCCAGUGACUUCCGGGACAGAAUGGACCAAUUGAUGACCACUCGUGUAGAAAGACAAACGGAGCUAGAAGCCUAUCAAGAAGAAGAAGAGGAGGAGAUGAGUCAAGAGAGAGUAGGCCAAUUGUUGUUGGCUCACCUACAAAGACAUAUGCAUUCAGCAGCUAGUCAAGAAGGAGAGCAAGCAGAAGAAGGAGAUCAGGUGGGACAAGUAGCUGAACCUUUAGUAGUCGAAGAGGAAGAGCAAGAACCAGAACACCGAGAAGAAGAUGAGGAACAAGAAGAGGAAGAAGAUGAACCUGACGAAGAACAACGGAGUCCAACAAGUCCUCUGUUUCAUGAAGCAAGUGAUGAUUUUGAUCAAUCCUCACCAUCUGUGCAAAUGACUUCUCCAUCUACGACGCAAACAUGGAGUUAUCAAGACCAUGAAGUUGGAGAUGAGUCUGAUCCAGUUGCAUCUACAUCUUCACCCCAGCCUUUACCGGCUCAAGCUUACUAUCAAGAUAGCCGGCAGUCCUCUUCCUCUACGAACCACAUAUCAAUAGUGAGUAUCACUUAUAUCUUCCUCUAUUGAUCUUAGUUGAGCCUUAUUCAAUUCCUCUUCAAAAGACUCAACUUGCUUGAAUACUUGAAGGAAACGGAACUCAUUUAUGAUUUAAGAGGGCAAAUUGAACAACUCCACCGUGAGAUGUCUGAGCUGAGAAAAUCAGUGCAGAGUUGCGUGGACAUGCAAGUGAAAUUGCACCAAUCCAAUCAACAGGAAGUUCAUCCAGGUGAGCUGGGGGACACAGAAUUCAUAUCUUCUUCAUUUAGAUGCCGUCUUCUUUGUUUGGUCUUUUAUCAUUAAGUAAAUUGCAAUGACAAAUUUUAUUACAGUUCAGGGGAUGGGGAAUAACUCGCUUUAUGGGGCACCAAAGAAACGCAGUUGUUGCAUUUGCUAUGAAAUGCAGGUGGACUCACUUUUGUACAGGUUGGUGCCUUAGCUUGGAACCCAAACAAUCCUUUCUCUGUUUGAAUCCCCAUCUUCUGAGCAUAAGAAGUACUCAUCUCACCAGCUAAAUUUGCUAAUGCUAUACAGAUGUGGGCAUAUGUGUACCUGUCUCAAAUGCGCCCAUGAGUUGCAAUGGAGUAGUGGAAAGUGUCCAAUAUGCCGGGCUCCAAUUGAUGACGUUGUUAGAGCAUUCAUGGAUUCAUAGAGUUCCGGUGAACGAGUUCUUGCGCUAGAGGACCGUCUUUAUUGCUGAAGCUUGGAUCGAAAAAUGCUAGUACUUUUUUCUUGCCUUAAUCACCAUAAUUCUACUUCACCCCAACUUAAUUAAUGUUAAUCAUGAUUUCACCUCUGCACAUAUGUACAUGUUUUUUGGAGGGGAGACAGACAACAAUUUCUCUCUACAGACAAUUUUCUUUUCUUUUUUUUCUUUCUUUCAGAAAUUUUCUUUGACCUGUAGCUAUAUGAUUGUAAAUCUGACCAGAUUGACAAAUGAAUGCUUGUUCUUCACUGGUCAUGUCACCAUCCUCUGUACAUAUUAUGCCAUUAUACAUUGUGUAGACAAUGACAAUAACAAGUUUCAAUCCUCUCACUCUCUUUCACUAGAAGAGCGUGUGUGUUAAGGUAGAUGCUGGGAGAAUAUGUAACCAAGAAUUUUUCUGGGUGACAGGAAGUUUCAAUUAGGAAAUACAACAUUGUCAAAGUGAGAAUGCCUGUAGAAUAAUGAGUAGUCUACUUCUAUUGUUCUUUCACCUUGUUGAACGUGGAUAACAUUAGAUGACUUGCAAACAAUGCUUCAAGAAAUAGUAAAGAUAUCUUGAGAAUCAUUUUUUUUUUUUAACUUUUAUGAAACUGAAAACUAACCGACGCAGCUGUAUUAAACGAGAAGAACAAAAAACAUAAUCAAGAAAAUUAAGAAAGCUCUUUGGAUGAUAAAGACUUAUUAACAUGGACAGUUAAAACGAUCUUAAGAUUAGGGAAGUUUGGGCUAAUGCAAUCUCUUCUACUACAAUCUGCAUUGUAUAUAAGACAAAAAGUAGUUGUAUUGAACCUUAACCUUGUUCAUUGUUGUGCGAUGUAUGUGAGGGAUUCGGAUUCAGUGGUGAACUGACCUAUAUUCAACUCUUCAUAAUCUUAUACCACACGUUCAUGUAUAACAAUAUAGGGUUAAGGUUUAAUUAGUUUAUAUUUUUAUCUAAUAACUACUAAUUAUAUAUUUGUAAAAGGUCAACUCAAUACUGAAUCUAAAUCCAUAUGUGAGAUGUCUGCAAUGCAGAAGUUUAAAGAAUUCUCACAUCCUAAAAUAGAGAAACUAUUGUAUCAGUUUACACUUAGAUUAAAUAUUUUUUUGGAAGUGUUGAAGUUCCUAAAAUUGAAAUAUGAAAGUGUAAAUGAACCCAAAAAGCUGCAGGGGAUGAUGAGAUUAUAAUAAUAAAAGGUUUAGAAAGAAAAAGAAAAACAAAGAAGCUGCUAAAAUUGAAACCAAGAAGUCAAAAAUCUUCCGGGAAUUAUGAAAUCUCUCUUAAACAUACCUUUCAGUAGACCUUGAUAAAUUUUUCCACUACUGGCCAAGGCCAUAUUUGUUAAAAUAGAAUGUCAUAUCUUGAGAGUUGAAAGAUCUUGAUCUCCUAAUAAAAACUUUUCUAAGGACAGCAAUUUUUUCAUGGUUUUAGUUUACUUCUAAUCUUUUGUUAUGUUAUUUCAAAUAUUUUGUUAUAUUAUUUCUUUAAAGUAGAUAUGAUCUUUUUUUCAUAUAGAUCAGUUGGUAUAGGGUUAUUCUAUAUUAACUAAGGUAUUCGGUUUGAGGCUUACGAAUACAGUUGCAUUAAAUACUCAUUGGAAAAGUUUUGCCGACUUAGUGGUCCUACACACCUCGAAUUUGAAAUGGGCUCAGUGUAGUCUUUGGAAACAAGAUUAGUAAUAUACCAAUAUAUAUAUAGAGAGAGAGAGAGAGAGAGAGCUUGACAAAUAAUAUCUUGAUGCAAAGUUAGUUUUAAAACUUAUUAAUACCACUUUGAGAUUUGGUUACGCUGAAAUGAAAAAGGAAGAAUUCAUGCUUACAUAAUCUAUCAUCAAAUCUCAUAAAUGUGUCAUGAUCAAUAGUAGUAAAAGCUCACCAGAAUGUUAGCAUGUGUUAUGAUUGAUAAGCACAUGGGGUUAGCUAGUAGCUUUAUUAGCAUCACAGAUGGACACGCAACUUAACAAAAACCAGGACCGCUAAUGGCCCCUACGUUUCCACGACAUCGAUAGUUUUCGAACUUGAAAAUGGCUUAAACCAGUGCAUUUAUUCAAUUGGUUAAAUGUUAUUACAGCAUAUUUUAUCCUAUGCUCUGGUUACUUUAAUUAGCUUCUUGCGAGCUGCGUCCGCACAAAACGACUCGUAGGCUUGUGUUUAGACUCAUGUGACAAGUCCGGUGAAUGAAUCAUAACCUUAACAAGGCCCUCCACAUACAACUUAUCCUCUUAAGUAAAUAAUAAUGAUGGAUCUGCAUCAAUGUCCCCUUAACAAAAGAAAUUGCUUAGAGCACAUAGACAUUACAUUGAGUCCAACGUCACUUGAAUAUACAAUAUGAAAUGUCUUUGUCACCCCACGAUUCCUCAAAGAGACGCCAAGCAGCGAGGUCCACAUUGCCGUUCUGUGCUUGGUGUAUAAACAGGAACAAUCACUUUUCAUUAAUGCAAUUGUGAUUGGCUUGCAACAGCUCACAAAGGCAAGUCCAAUUAUGUUAACUUAUUCUUGUUUUCCUUUAUUGCAUCAAAUUGCUCUUUAUGUCAUGAUAAGGCUCUAACAGAAUAUGUUAUGUGUCUCUAGCCCCUCAUUAUGGGUAACAGCUAUUUUUGUUCCUUACAUUAGAAUCAUAUAAAAUGAUAUAUAAUUAAUCACUAAACCCAAAAACCUAAGCUAUUAAGGGCACAUUAAUUUAAUACUUAAUUUAUCUAAUUUUGAAAUUGAAUGUAUUAAACAUUAACAUACUUUUGAUGCAAAUAUUUUAAAUUUUUUAUUCAGCCUAAUCGAAAUCAAAUCCCUCCCAAUCCGUGUGAAUCAAAUUUAAUUAGUAUAUUCAUUUUAAUGCUAUAAUACUUCAGUACGAGACAAAUCCUAAAAAUUGUUUAAAAAUUGUUUUAGCUUAAUUUUAUCAGGCAUAACUGAUUAUUUUUUAUAGUGCGGAGCUUAGGAAUAAGAUUAUAAAAGCUAAAAUUUUUUAUCUCUAAUUGAUGUCCGAAAAUGGUUCUCACGAAAUAACCAAACUAAAAGAUAGGAACCUCUAUAUCAUCAGCUAACUGAUAAACAGAUUUGAUAAACAGAUUUGAAUAACAAAGAGUUAAAUUGUGUCCCAAAUAUUUGAGGACACCAUCCCCACAUAUUAUUGGAAACCAUAUAGAUAUAAUGCACUUGCCCCACAGAAAUCAGGUUACCGUAGGCAACAGAAAUGGGCAAUGCCUGCACUUUUUUGUUCUCGUGACUGCCCGUUGCAGCAUUAUAAGGGUUCUGUAGCAUAAGACAACUUCAGGAUUUUGAUUUUUGAUCGUACAAUAAUGCAUUUUAGGUGGUGUUUUUUUGAUUUUAUCUUCUUUUCUCUUUCUCUCAAAGAAUAUGUCAAAUGAAAAUAAGUAUUACUUGUUCACAGGCACAAAACAAAACAAAACAAAAUCUUCAUCCUCAAACAUAGAAACAACCCAUUCUUUAAGAUAGAGAAGCUCCCUUCCCUUCAAUGGCUAAAUUAAAGGACAUUAAACUGAUACAAAUUAAGCUUUGACGUCCCUUUCUCUUUUACGUUAAUAAUCAGUGCUCUAAUCCAUUUAAUUUUAAUCAUGUGUUUUGCUUCAAAUUUUGUCUCCGAAAUGCCUCUCAUCAUGUAUGCAAUUAUGCUGGAAAAAACACGCCGCCCGUCUCUUUUGUACAGCAAUUAAAGUGACCAGGAUGUCCCCCGGAAUUUAUUAUCACGUCUUAUUAAAUUAUUGGACAGAGAUUAAAAGUAUUAUACGUCUUUCAUUUUAAACCAUAGACCAGAACUAAUAACGUGACAGGCACGAGGAUUCAUAAAAGAAAUAUUUACACCAUCCAUCCCCCAUUACUUAAUUAUGUUUCAAAAAUCAAAACUGGUUUGUGUCAUUUUGACAAGUUGAUUGUUGUUGCUUUCUAAAUUUUAAGUCAAAAUAGGCGAAUAAGUGUUCAAGUUUCAUCAUACAAGAUCAACUGUGGAUGACAUACAAGUUUGGAGCUAUUAAUUCAAUUUUUCCAACAAAAUCAACUGUACAUGAUAUUAGAAGCUCUCUUUGUGUACAAGCUUCCCUGGCCUUAUUACGCUCAAAUCAUGUGCCCUGCCCUGUUUUGCUUUCGUAGGCUUGGACCUUUUGCCGCAGAUCAAUAAUUUUCAAGCCAAUGAUUGAAACUUUUUAAACAUAUUUCAAGUAUAGUCAUUAGCAUCUUAGUUUUACCAAAAAAGAAAAAUUUUGCAAAAAAAGGAAUGUCGCCUUCAUUCCAUAGAUUAGGAGUUAGAGUACCCAUUGUUGGAUGAUAAAUUAAAUUCAGUCCUGGAUCAUGAAACGAAUACGGGGUUUGAUUUAAAGUAUUCGAUUAAUUUCAACCAAAUGGUCCAUUGGCUAAACAAUUGGGAUUUGGGACCAUUUGAAAUUUUCAAUUAUGUGUCAGCCUACCAAGAUAGAAAUUAAUCAUAGAAAAACUUGCUCUAGGACAGCGGCUAACCGGAUCUAAAAUAACAAAAAAAAGGGCCUCUCUGAAACCUUUGAUUUUGACCAUUAAUAAUGCAUUAGUGUAAAAUAUACAUCUUCUUAAUUGUGAUGUGUGCAUGAGUCAAAUUUCAAAUAUCUUUUAUUACCUCAAAAUAUUAUUGUGAAGCAAUGAAUCUCCUAAGACACUCUUCAGCCACAUCAAAUUUUUGUCAAAAGCUAACCAAAAGUUAAAAACAUCAACCUCAAGCGAAUGACUUUGCAUUAGAUAUAGGAUAUUAUAUAUAUAUAUAUAUAGCUGGUUUUUGAGAUUGUCAGCCAGCUCUGAAGAAGGACAAUGAUUGGUCUCUCUCACCCUCUUGCCUCUCUUAUCUUCCCACUUUAGCUUGGGAUUUGAGAGAAGGCAAAGGCAUAGACUACUGUGCAGUAAAAUAAAGUGGGCAAAAGAGAGGGUCCAUUAGGAGGCUGGCAAUGGCACCACAAUACCAUCCCCAUCACACUAAUCACAGUUACCUCCUUUUUGUUCGCAUAAAUAUGGUUGUAAACAAAACUCGUUUAUUGUAAGCGUAAUAGUUAAUUCAAGUGGUAAAACUUCUUUUAAAAAAAUAUAUAUAAGAUAACCCCCUUAUCACAUGGAUGCUAGUAAAAUAUUUUGAAGUUCAAAUCCUGAUCACAUAGGAUUGAGGGAAUAAAAAAUUAGGAUGAUAUCACUGUCAAGUUGUGCUUCCAUUAGUGAGAAAGCAACGACCCUAGCAGGAAAUUGUAUGGCAGAUGACCACCCCUCCAUGUUACAACUUCAAAAAGCCUGACCCACAUUUCCAAUUUAUAAACCCACCAAAUUACAAUUCCCAUUCCAAACUCCACUUCAAGUCCUUGAUCUUCCUCUUCAUUUACUCCUCAUUUUCUUUCUUGCAGAAGCUUAGACUACAUCAAAGAAAAGAAAAAAAAUGUGUUCUUCAAAGUCUAAACUGCAUUCUGCCACUCAAAUAAAUGGCCGUCCUGUGCUUCAACCAACUUCUAACCAAGUUCCAAGCUUGGAAAAGCGCAAUUCCAUUAAGAAAACUGGUUCACCAAAAUCUCCUAUUACUACUGAUAAUGUUAAUAGCAAGUCUUUCACAAAGUCUUUAUUGUCUCCUCCAGUUUCCCCAAAGCUAAAAUCACCAAGACCAGCAGCAGUAAAGAGAGGAAAUGAUCCCAAUGUGCUAAACACCAGUGCUGAGAAAAUCAUGACACCAAAAAAGUUGGCAAGUUUGGUUAAGAAGCCCAAAAAUGUUGGAGUUGCACCAUGUUAUGAUUCUUCAUUGAUAGUUGAGGCUCCAGGAAGCAUAGCAGCAGCGCGGAGAGAACAUGUUGCAAUUAUGCAAGAGCAAAGAAAGCUGAGGAUUGCUCAUUAUGGAAGAACAAAGUCGGCCAAGUUUGAAGGAAAGGUACCUGGGCUCGACUCUUUUGCCAAUGGUGACAAUAAUGAUCGAGAGGAAAAGAGAUGCAGUUUUAUCACUCCUAAUUCAGGUAUUUUUAACUAUAACACUGUUGUUUAACAUCUGUAGGACCAAAUUUAGAUUUUAAAAUGUGCCAACGUCUACACUUGAGGAGAAUGACUUAGUUUCUAUAUUUGCAUUUAAGUUAGAGAAUGGAAUAUGAAAAAUUUACUUUUUGUUUGUGCAGAUCCUAUAUAUGUGGCUUAUCAUGAUGAAGAAUGGGGAGUCCCUGUUCAUGAUGACAAGUAAGAAUUUUCUCUCUACUUUUCUGUAAUACUUCAAUUAAUAUCUUAAGCUCUUUAGAUGAAACUGGUAGCUAAUAUAAAAUAUUAAUCAAUAAAUAAUUUGAUAAUUUUUCCCUUAAUGCUAAUGAAUUAUUUUGUUUGGUUUUGUGUUAUGCAGGUUGUUGUUUGAAUUGCUAGUUUUGACUGCUGCACAAGUUGGAUCCGAUUGGACUUCUGUCUUGAAGAAACGCCAAGCAUUCAGGUGGGUGUGAUUAGAGAGAAUUAAAAAAAAAAAGUAAAUUAAUUAAUUAAUCUCAUACCAUUUUUAAGCCACUUCACUCUUUCAAAAAAAAAAAAAGUGAUUAAAUUUAGAAUCUGUUUUUGCAGAGAAGCAUUCUCAGGGUUUGAUGCAGAAGUUGUUGCCAAAUUCACUGAGAAAAAGAUGACAUCAUUAAGUGCUAACUAUGCCAUAGAUUUAAGCCAAGUUCGAGGCAUUGUUGAUAACUCCAUUCGAAUUCUUGAGGUAAUAAAUGAUAUUCAAUUGGAAAAAUUUCUUGAGUGUACUAUAAAUUUGAGUUUUGAACUUCGCUCAUAUUGGAUAGGAAGGGAUUUUAUUUUUCAUUAAAAUAAUACCAAAAAAAAAAAUUACUAGGCAUUUGCCCUAUCUUAAAGUUGUUGAUGUUACUUAGAUGUCUUGAUAAUAGUCCUGCUUAAAGUUGUUGAUAUUACUUAGGUGCAUUGUUAAUAGUCCUGCUUGUUAAUAAUUUCAAUUAAUUUUACAGGUAAAGAAGCAAUUCGGAUCAUUUGACAAGUACUUGUGGGGAUUUGUGAAUCACAAGCCAAUCAACACCCAAUAUAGGUCAAGCCAAAAGAUCCCAGUGAAGACCUCAAAAUCGGAAGCGAUAAGCAAAGACAUGGUGAAAAAAGGGUUUAGAUUUGUUGGACCUACUGUUAUUCACUCAUUUAUGCAAGCAGCUGGUCUCACCAAUGACCAUUUGAUCACUUGCACAAGACACCUCCAAUGCACCGCAUUGGCCUCUCAUCAGCCAGCCGUAGCCCCAGCCCUGUAGGACAACAAUCCUGACAACUGAAGCUAGCUAAGUUAGCAUAUAUUCUCUAACUAUAGAUAUUGUCCUAUAAUAUAUGAUGUAGUUUUAAUGUGUGUAACAAGUAAGACUUUGUUGGGCGUUUUGAGGAAAAUGUAAUGUGACAUUAUCACUGUAUGUUUAAGGACGAUUAAGUUUUUUUGUUAGAUUUCUCAAAUUACAUGUAAUUUGAGAACUACAAGAAGAAUGGGUGUUGUGACUGGUGAGGGAAGGCAGAGGGGAGACAGAGAACAUGUGCAGGCGGGCAGGCAUUGGGAUUCAAUUGAUUUUUGUGAUCCCCACAUACAAGAAGUCUCCAUUAUUUGCUUCCUUUAAAAUGGGUGCUGGGGAUGAUAAUCAGUGCCAGAUUGAUGGGCCAUGGGAGUAGGACCCCUUUCUAAAUAUUAUAUUUAGGUAGGUUGAAUAUGAGGUGUAUAGAUAUUUAUUUCUGCUUUGAAAUUAUGGAAACUUUCUUCCUCAUCGGUACUGGUAUAUCACUUUCCUUGUAUCUGAAUCCUAACCUUUAGUGAGUAUAAAGUUUGUAUAUCAUGAACUAGUGUGAAUUGUGAGUGUUAAGUGUGAAAUGAAUUAUGGAUACUUGCUUCUUAAUUUCUUUCCUCCUAAUCUUGGCCACCCAAGUCAAGUAUAUCUCCAUACUCCAUGCACUCUUAAUUUCUUUGACAUUUCAAUUUAAAAGAUUGCAAGUCUGACAGGCAGCAGUGUACCAAAUAUUCAUUUCGAUAUUGUAAACAUUCACUAUUUAUAGCACAAUCUUUUUUUUCUUUCUUUUUCUUUUUUCUAGUGGGCUUUCGCAUGCUUUUGGGAAUAGAAGCAUUCUCAGGGUUUGAUGCAGAAGUUGUUGCCAAAUUCACUGAGAAAAAGAUGACAUCAUUAAGUGCUAACUAUGCCAUAGAUUUAAGCCAAGUUCGAGGCAUUGUUGAUAACUCCAUUCGAAUUCUUGAGGUAAUAAAUGAUAUUCAAUUGGAAAAAUUUCUUGAGUGUACUAUAAAUUUGAGUUUUGAACUUCGCUCAUAUUGGAUAGGAAGGGAUUUUAUUUUUCAUUAAAAUAAUACCAAAAAAAAAAAUUACUAGGCAUUUGCCCUAUCUUAAAGUUGUUGAUGUUACUUAGAUGUCUUGAUAAUAGUCCUGCUUAAAGUUGUUGAUAUUACUUAGGUGCAUUGUUAAUAGUCCUGCUUGUUAAUAAUUUCAAUUAAUUUUACAGGUAAAGAAGCAAUUCGGAUCAUUUGACAAGUACUUGUGGGGAUUUGUGAAUCACAAGCCAAUCAACACCCAAUAUAGGUCAAGCCAAAAGAUCCCAGUGAAGACCUCAAAAUCGGAAGCGAUAAGCAAAGACAUGGUGAAAAAAGGGUUUAGAUUUGUUGGACCUACUGUUAUUCACUCAUUUAUGCAAGCAGCUGGUCUCACCAAUGACCAUUUGAUCACUUGCACAAGACACCUCCAAUGCACCGCAUUGGCCUCUCAUCAGCCAGCCGUAGCCCCAGCCCUGUAGGACAACAAUCCUGACAACUGAAGCUAGCUAAGUUAGCAUAUAUUCUCUAACUAUAGAUAUUGUCCUAUAAUAUAUGAUGUAGUUUUAAUGUGUGUAACAAGUAAGACUUUGUUGGGCGUUUUGAGGAAAAUGUAAUGUGACAUUAUCACUGUAUGUUUAAGGACGAUUAAGUUUUUUUGUUAGAUUUCUCAAAUUACAUGUAAUUUGAGAACUACAAGAAGAAUGGGUGUUGUGACUGGUGAGGGAAGGCAGAGGGGAGACAGAGAACAUGUGCAGGCGGGCAGGCAUUGGGAUUCAAUUGAUUUUUGUGAUCCCCACAUACAAGAAGUCUCCAUUAUUUGCUUCCUUUAAAAUGGGUGCUGGGGAUGAUAAUCAGUGCCAGAUUGAUGGGCCAUGGGAGUAGGACCCCUUUCUAAAUAUUAUAUUUAGGUAGGUUGAAUAUGAGGUGUAUAGAUAUUUAUUUCUGCUUUGAAAUUAUGGAAACUUUCUUCCUCAUCGGUACUGGUAUAUCACUUUCCUUGUAUCUGAAUCCUAACCUUUAGUGAGUAUAAAGUUUGUAUAUCAUGAACUAGUGUGAAUUGUGAGUGUUAAGUGUGAAAUGAAUUAUGGAUACUUGCUUCUUAAUUUCUUUCCUCCUAAUCUUGGCCACCCAAGUCAAGUAUAUCUCCAUACUCCAUGCACUCUUAAUUUCUUUGACAUUUCAAUUUAAAAGAUUGCAAGUCUGACAGGCAGCAGUGUACCAAAUAUUCAUUUCGAUAUUGUAAACAUUCACUAUUUAUAGCACAAUCUUUUUUUUCUUUCUUUUUCUUUUUUCUAGUGGGCUUUCGCAUGCUUUUGGGAAUGAAGCAUUAGAAAAAGAUGUAUGAAUGAUGACUGUCACAUUACAUUAAAAUUACUGUAAAGCGCAAUUGAAUAGGGGAAUCCAAAGCACUGUUAGCUUUGUGUUGUGUUGACAUUCCCCCAAAUAUGCCUUUGCUACAGGGUUCUUUUUCAAUUAUUCUUCUGCAGAAGCUCCUUUAUAUUUUUUGCAGUCAUUCUGUGCCAAAAGAAAGCAAAUUCUAACAACCAUUGCUGCUUCAGAAUUAACCAUUCAAAUUACUGGAUGCAGCAAAUGAAUCGUUAUAAAUCCUUUUGCUGUAUUUUCACAUUCUUUCUCGGUUAGGCCCGAUCUGGGAAAAUGCAAGGCUGCAAUUAACGGGCCAAAAACUCAUGGGCUUGGUCCCACUCAGUUUUUCAUACAAGCCCAUGAAAGUAAGAUAGUGAUAAGGGUGGGCAAAUCCGAGUUCAAUCAACUUAAUCGGGUUUCUGGUUUAUUAGGUUUAGAAGAAAAAAAUUAUUCGAACUCAAUCCGAACUUGUAAUUAUAUUUGGAUCAGAUCGAAUCAAAAAUUUGAUAGGCUUUUGUUUAUGUGUAUGUAUAAAUUCUAUUGGUAAAACGCAUGCACAGGGUAAGUAAAGCAAAUUAUUUGAUUUGUAAUGCUUUUUAAAUUGAAAAUAACAGUCAACACAUUGCAAAAAAAACAAAAAAAGGUUAUAUUAUCACAUUACAAUCACACAUCACACGGUUUAAGCAAUACAAUUACAAAUAAUGCAAUGAAAAAUUGAAAUUAAUUAUUUAAUAUGACAUAAAUAAACCAUAAAAAAUAUUGUUGGAUUUGGAUCUACGAAGGUGGUUGUCGAGGUGAAGCAAGCUGCAGCAGUAGUUGCAAUGGCUGGUGGAGCAAGAUGCAACAGCUGACGAGGUGGAGCAGACUGGCCGCAUCAGCAUAUCACAAUGACUUGGCUUUACAUUGGAGCAACAGCUCGUGUCGGUGCAUCACGGUCUGUAUGUGUCUGUGGUUUCGUCGGUGACUUGGUGGCUCAAUGCUGUCAGCUGUGUGUGUGCCGCCAUGUCCCAUGUUGUGUGAGCUCUGAGCUCUGUGUCUAUGGUGCGAGGCUCUAAGCUCUGUGCUUGUGGUCAUGAGCUAGCUAAUCGAUUUAGAAUUUUAGGUUUUAGUUUCUGAAUUCAUUUUAAAAAAAAUUAUGUCAGUAUCCAACCUGAUCAGAUUUCAGAUUGGAUCGAGUUUAACCCGAUCGAAUUGUGAUCCAAUUAAAUUGGAUAGAAUCUCACACGAUUAAGUUCGAAUCUUUAUCUACAUUUAAUCUGAAUAUGUAUUUUUCGGGGUCGAAUUGAGUUUGGUUAAAUUCCCACCUCUGGUGAUGAAAUUAUAAUCCAAAAUUUCGGAAUUUUUUUUUUCUGUUUUAUAGUUCUGAAAGUAAACUAGAAAAUUUUUGUUAUUUUUUUUUAUAAAUAAGCUUGAACAUCAAACUUUAUUUUUGAAAUGUUUACACAAAUUAUAAUCAACUUCAAAAGUUUACAUUUUUCAAUAGGAGCUCAUAUUUAAACAUAGUUUAUCUUAUAUCCUCUCCAUGAAUAUUUAAAUAUAUAAUAAGUAAAACUUAGGACCAAAUAAAUUAAUUGAAAUUUUUUGACUUAGCAAGUGAUAUAAAUAUAAAGUAUGUACUAUAUUAGUAAUUAGUUAAAGGAACAUGUUCAAUCUAAUGUAUAAAUAUUGAUAAAAGAGACAAUAUUUAGUUUCAAAAUAAUAGUACAUGUAUCUUUAUAGUGUUAUAUAGAAUCAUCUUAAAAGUCUAAACAUUUAUAUUAUAUUCAGAGUAUUUCUCUCAAUAUAAGUUUCAUGAAUACAAUAUAUUAUAUAAAUUAUUGUUCCAAAUAACUUUAAAAAAUAUAGAUAUUUUGUUCCAUCUUAAACUUUUAAUGCAGUAUAAUAUAUAUUUUUUGGAAUAUACAUAUAAUUAUUAUUAUGUGGAUGUAAUUUCCUUAAAUGAGAUAUAAAAAAAUGAACAAUUUAUUAUUUUUUUAUAACUUGUCUAAUUAAUUUUUGUAUGACUAAACAGAAAUUAAUCCUCUAGAAAAGUUUUACUAUAGUAGAUAAUACCACCAAUUGAAAGUUGGCUCACCUUUCUAGCGCUAUUUAAAAAAAAAAAGGAAAAAAAAAAAACGAAUCCUAGCUAGCUAGUAUCUUUAUAUCUCAUCACAGUAACAAACAAUAGAGCACCAAGUAGUACCCACAUCGUUCGUAAGGUUCCCCCUCCGUAUUGUCGGUGACAACCUCGUUGUUAUUUCGCCAGAUAGUUUACACCAAUCUUUUUCCCUCCGUAUUGUCGGUGACAACCCCGUUGUUAUCUCACCAGAUACUUAUGUAUCAAUUAAUUAAUAUCCAUAAGCAUCGACUUCUAUUCUCAAAAUUAAUGAAUAACGCUUUAUGGGGGAAGUCCAGAAUCAAAUUAUUAUUACUCCAAGUGCUGAAUUCGUGGAAACUUAAUUUUACAUAAAUUAUAAAACAUUUAAUUUAUUAAAUAGGUCCAUAAAACUUGAGACUAUUUGCACUUUAAAAUUACUCUUACUCUUAUUUCAAUAAAGAGUUACGUUAUUUGAACCCACAAAUUUACUUCUUAUUAAUUAAUAGUUUUUGAUAAAAUUACUUAAUCAACCAUUUCUUCUCUUUCUCUUCUCAAUUUUAUAAAUUUUCAUUAAUUCAUUUAGAUAUAUUAUUUUAACUGCAAAUAAUUGAUAUCACUAAAUAAUAGAAAUAAAACUCACCAUUUAAAAAUAAAUAUCAACAAAUUUUUAUCAGUCAUGAAAGUUAGUGAAUACAAAAAUUAAUUUUUAUCAAACACAAAAGAUAAUGAAAAUUAAGGGAAAAAUAUUGUUAUAUAUAGAAAGCAUAAAAUAGAAAUCAUGAUAUACCAAGGACUACAAAAAUGAAUUCAAAAGAGAGUGAAAUUGAGUGUUUUGUUUGCAUAAUAUGUGAGUAGAAAGAAGAUGCACAAUUGUAAGGUAGAGAGAGAAAGAGAUUAGUGAAGGGUAAUUUUGAGAUUUUAAUUUUUGAUAAUAAAUUUAUUUUUUUAAAUGGGUGUGGAAAAGAAUUUGGUGGAUUCAAAUAACCUCACUAUUUAAUAAAUUAAUUUAUUAGAAAAAAUACCCAUAUGUAAAUUACUAAUAAGGAUUUUCCAAUCUCUUAAAAAAUAUUUAGUUUAAAAAAUAGCAAAUCAAUACUUUUAACAUUUUUUGAACAUAUUUUUAGUUCUCUAGCCAUAAAUCUUAAAAAUUCAAUUUCCAAUCUCUUAAAAAAAAAUUUAGUUUAAAAAAUAGCAAAUCAAUACUUUUAAUAUUUUUUGAACAUAUUUUUACCGUUUGAUUUUUUUAAAAGUAUUUUCAUAGUGUUCUCCUCCUUCUACUUCCCUUUUCGAGACUUCUUCUUUUUCUUCAUCUACUUCUUCUUCUUCUUUUUGGCCAAAUGGCCAAUUUAUUUUCUAAUUUUUAGGCUAAAAACUUGGGGUGUAUAAAUCAAUAUUGAAAAAAAUUAGGGUGUAUAAAUUACUAUCGAACAUAUUCUUUAAUAAACAAAAGCUAAUAACUGAAACUUGUGUUAAAAAAUUUGUUUAGAAUAUAAUUUGAUUCUAUUGUAUAUACUAAAUUUUUAUUAAGUCGUUUUGGAGGUGCAAAAUAGUUUGAUUGGUGUUUUAGUAAAUUAAUUUUUUGGAGGUGCAAAAUAGUUUAAUUGGUGUUUUAAUAAGUUAAUUUAACUGGCUUAAGUAAGCCUUUUUUGGUAUUUUAAAGAGUUUAGAAAGUAAAACUUAAUUUUUUAAAUUUAGCACAUAAGUGUAUAUAAUAUCAUAGUAUUCAGAAUAAAUUUUAGAGUGUAAAUAUCCUCACUCGUUCAUGAAAUUGGAACCCUUGCUUAAAUGAUCAUAUUUUUUUUCUUUCUUCUAGUGAAAGCUCAUAUUUUUAGAAAUUAAAAAAGGAGUAAUAAUAUACAUUCUAAAUUUUUAUCUCAAAUUUUAUUUAAAAUAUUUAUUGAAUGAUUAAUAAUUUUGUAUAAAAUUAAAGUGAAUUAAUUGUAUUAUUUUAUUACUUAAUAGAGUUGCCGCUUAAUUAAUACGGUAUAAAACCAAUAACGUUUUUGGUAUAACAUAUAAAUUGAUUAUGACCGUUGGAUUAGCACUGAGGAUUGAUAAUCGUACGACAUCACAACUAAUAAAGGUAGAAUGAUUACGAGUAUCAUAACUGGGCACAUGCGAAUCGUGAUGAAUGGGGACCCAAUCCGUAAAUAUUUGUUUCGGAACGAUGGAAACAGCCUACCAAAGCUUGCCGCCAAACACGGGGUCUUUUUCGGUGUCUCCCUCACAUCACGCGGCGUAAUUAUUAUUUUUUUCUAAAUACUAUUAUUAUUAUGGCUUUGAUAAUGUCACUGUCACCUCCCACACUUUUACAUUAUUUAUUUAUUUUUUCAAUAACAUCUCUCCUAUUUUAUAUGCAGAUUAGUUAUUUUGUCGCAAAACACUCUAAUUAACACAACUUGUGUUAUCUGCAGAAAUAAUUAGAUUGUCUUAAGCUAUAAUUAAAAAAAGAGAGAGAGAGUAAAAAAUGGCCGAAAUUAAGUCUCUUCAACUAUGGCUGUAAUUGCCACUUGGGCUUGUAGUUCAGUGGUGAACUAUUGCUCUUAAAAUCAAGUAUGAUUAUGAGUGUAAUUGUUCGAGUUCUUAUGAACUCAACCUUCCUCAAUUAAAACAUAAUUGUGUAGAAAUAAUUUGUAAUGUCUUUCUUUCUUAUUAAAUACGAGUAGAGUAGAGAUAUUCUUUUUCUGUAAUAAGGGAUAACUGACUGAACAUGUACUUCAUAUAAUAAAAAUGUAAUAAUAUAAGAUUUCGUGAGUGGAGUAGAGACAUUCCUUCUCCGUGAGAAAUAUUUGACUGAAUAUAUAUUUUAUAAAAUAAAAAAUUAUAAAUAUUAAUAUAAUAAUUAAUUAUUAUAAUAAUUAUAAAUAUUUAUGUAAUAGAAUAACUUGAUGCUUAAUCAGUUAAAAAAAAAAACUAUGGCUGUAGUUUUAAGUCCGAAUCCCCCCAGUAUUCAAAGAAAACUUUAUCUUCAGGAGCUGUCCUCCUCGUGAUUUAUGGGGAAAUUUUAAUGGACGGAGAGUAUCUAACCACGUGGCAAAUUCAGAUACAAUCAAAAGAAUGGUGUCUAAUGGGCAAAGAGCCAGCUGGCCACUCAGUCCAGCUCGUCGUCAACCCUCUUCUAUUAUUAUUAUUAUUAUAUUAGUAUUUAUGUGUGUGUUUUCUUUUUUCAAAUCUCUCGCUUCUUGAUUUAAUAAUCAUUGAGAAAAUCUUGUCUUUUGUUUUUUUUUUUUCCUCCCAACCUCACCAUUUAUUCUAAGUUUUUUCAAUCUAAAUGAAGAAAUUCUAAUUUUUUUUUUUAUGGGAUAAACACUGAUUAAACUCUGUAAGAUUGUUUAGAUAGAUUAACCAGUUAUGGUAAGCUUAAAUAAUUGCAACAAAUUAGACUGAUUUUGGUAUUUUUUACUUUUUAAGUAGAAUUGAGCAACAACAACAACAACAACAACGUUGUUCUAACCGCCGACAUUAUAAAUUAGAAAAAAAAUAAACAAAUAAAAGUUUUUGAAGAAGAAAAAAAGGAAUGUACUAAAACACGUGAGAUCAAAACUCAGCUUUUUUGGAAACCUCCUUCAUAGAAGGCUGCAAAUAUGGUCAGUUUAUAAUGGACACCGCCAAAUUAGAAAGUCAAUCCAAGCAUCCUGUAGCCACACCAAAACAACUUUCGUAUAUAAUGCAAUUUGUACUGCCCUUAGUUUUGCUGGCAGUUAGUUCCAAUAAAAAUCAAUUUCUUCUCAUGUUGCUCUAUGAUUCUAGCCGACACGAUAAACUAAUAUCAAAUAGAUAAAAGUUAAAAAAAAAAAGAAGAAAAGAAAAGAAAAGCCCUAAUGCAUGUGAGAUCAAAGACUCAGCUUUUGGAAGCUUCAUUCACGAGGGCUGGGAGCGAAUUCAGUCCAUUUUAUAGUAAGCUAUCAAAUUAUAAAGUCAUCAAUUUAUGCCUACACCAAAUAAGUUUGAUUCGCACACUUGAUUGGGCUUUAUUGAUGAUGCAUGCAACACUUCAUCAAAAUAUAAUGUUGAGAUAAAAGUAAGAGAAUCGAGAUGACUGGUUAUUAAUUUUUUAUUAUUAUCCUAGUUACUUGAUUUAAUUGGUAAACUAAAAAUAAAAAUUAGAGUGAAGAGCACUCAUUUUGAAAAAUAAAAAAUAAUAAAAAAAAUUAAAAGGAGGAAAAACAUGUUUAUGUGAAAACGGUCAACUGGCCUUGAUUCCUUUUGAAAGUCAUAUGAGGCUGAGUCCUGCACGCGACGUAUCACAGGGAAGGGUUAAUCAUAUCUCACACAGAAAUAAUGAUACUAAAAUUCAUAAUUAUAAUUAUUAAAAAUCAUUUUAAUUCCCCGCUUCUCGUGGAAAAAUCGAAGGGGUCAAAAACCAAAACGCCAAGGCCCAAGCUCUCUUUUAUUUAUUAUUUUUAUUUUUUAUUUUUGUUACAAUCAACACAACACCGAAUUCCAUGAAUGUCUGGAAAGAUCUCUCCUUAGAACACGUAUAACCUUGAGAAGCCCACGUGUCGUUUUUGAAACGUGUCAAAUUCGUAUUGCAUGUGGCUUCUUUUAUUUAAUUUUUUAAUUUAUUUUAACAUAACGAAAUUAUCGUCCCCACCGAUACUGUCCUUUUAUAGGCUAGACAGCCCAUAUAGACAAGGACAGGAGUCUUGACAGACGGGCCAACACCGUUGCUCAGAAUCUUCCACGUGUCAGCGCUCGAAAAUUAUUUUUGCACUUUUUGCACCGAUGCCCUUACUGUUUAUGUAUAAUUCAAUUUCUAACACUUCAUAUUUCAUAUUCUUAUUUAGGACAAACUUUUGAAUUUUUAACUUUUGAUGGGCAGAUUUUCAAUUAAUACAAAGCUCUUGUAGUUAACUGAAAAUGUUAUACCAUCUCGCUUCUUUAACAAGAUUCUUCCUUUAAAUUUGUUUAGCUAGCACUCAAUUAUAAACCAAUAAAAAUAUGACACAUUUUUUUUAAUAAUAAUUGUUUUAGUUGCAAAAAAUAUAACUCUACAUUAAUUGCCUUUAACAUUUAUGAUUUUCAGAGAGUUUAUAAUUGUGUUAAUCAUUUAUUACCCAGAAACAGGUUAGUUGUUCCUUGCCAUGAAUGAAUUGUAAGGGCAUUUUAACGUUUGCAAGGCUAAAGUCAUUCUUGGAAAGAGUAAAAAGAAAAAAAAAAUCUAUCAGAUAACAAGAUGAAAGGGUAGAAGUAAUAAAAGACAUCCCUUAAAGAUAAUUAUAACAUUUACAGAAAAAUAUAAGGACCCCAUAGCAAGGAUCAAAGAAGUCCAAGAUACUCCCAUCCUUACUUGUCCAUUGUGUCAGGACCUUGGGCCCCACAUUCUUUUCUAUUUUUUGGAAUUUUGAGCCCCACAUUUUGACACGGCAAUAAAGUGGUUAAUAUUAAUUACUCAGUUAAUUACUAUUUACUGUUUUUAAUUUAUCAUUUAACAACUUCAAAUUAAAGUCCAUUUUAAUUUAUUAAAAUAUUCCCCUCAACCGAGUAAUAUAUAGUAUAAUCUCCAUUAUAUAACAAUUUUUGACAAUCCUAAGCUAAUGUGCUAAAUUAGUAAGACAAUAUUUUUUUCUCUAAAAACUCUUAUAUAAUUCUAUGAUCCCAUUCAUAUAAUAAAUUAAUAAUUAGUUAAAUUAAAAAAAUUAAUUAUGAUAUUUUAUUAAAUAAAAUAUGAUUAAAUUGUUACUUUUUUAAAAAAUUUAAAUAUUGUAAGAUUUCGUUUCUAAUUUUUCUAACUGUAUUUACAAGUGUUGGAGUUGAAUUCUCCAAUUGCAAUAAAAAGUACGAAGUGUUGUUGAUGCUUUAAGUGCAUUUUUAUAUAUAACAUGCUCUAAAGCUAUUAUGGGAUCCUCAGCUUUGUCAUUAGCGAGAUUUUCAAUGAUGUUAGCAAUGAUUUCUUCUAAAUUUGAAACCUUGUAACCUGUAUUUCAUUUGAUUGAAUUGAUAACUCAUACAAAUGAAUUUUUAAUAGAUUAAUUUAUAUUCAAUUAGUUAGAUACGUAAAAUACAAAAAAAAAUUAUUGAACUAAUUCGUGUUCAAUUGAUUAGAAUUGUAAAAUACAAUAAAUUUUUUGUUGAUUAAAUUACACUCCAUAAAUUAAUAAAUUAUUAAUUGAUCGAUUAACUAAUACAUCUUUUUAUUAAUAGAUUUUGUACGAUCUCAAUAUUAUUAAUAUAUAUAAUUUAUACUAUAAUCAAAGUCAUCAAAUUGCCCCUUCUUGUUUAGUUACAAGCCAUGUGAUCAGUUUAAUUAACCUUUAACACCAACAAAAGAUUUGCAUCUCUUAUAACAAAAAAAGAAAGUAAAAAAAAAAAUAAAUAGACAAAAGUAUAGACAUUAAAUUUAGUUUGAAUAAAAAUCGGGGACUUAUGUGAUAAAAGAAUUCGUAGUCAGGCUGUUUAUAUACAGGUGAACGUUAAAACAACAAUAAUGUUAAUGGAAAUAACAAACAAGCCUGCCGGAGGAUUAGAAAUAGGAAAAUCAGAGCUAUAAAAAGAGAGUUAAAGAAGAGACGCAGAGAGAGAAGGAAGGGGAGAGAGAGAGAGAGAAUUAUUGAUUGUUAUUCACAUUCAUUUAUUCAAUCCUUCUUUUUUCUUCUUUUUCUCCACCUCCUUGAAAAAAAAAAACAAUCUCUUCCAUUUCUUCUUCUUCUUCAUCUUCAAUUCCUCAUACAUAAAACGCAAAGCUUGAUAAUGGCGACGAAUAAAGAGAGAGAAAAUCAGAAAGACAGGGGAGGGGAGAAGAAGAUGCUUGUUGGGGUGAUAUGGAACUGUGCAGCUGAACUAAAACUCAUAUUAGUUGCUCUUUUGAUUCUCUGUAGCGUCGCCACUCUCCUUCAGUUUUUGCCUUCUCGUUUCACAAUCUCCACUUCUGAUCUUCGUCUUUGCAUUUCCAAAAUUCCCUCCCAAACGGACCCUACCGCCGACACCAACACCAACACCAACACCAACAUUCCUUCUCAACGUUUACAGAUUCAGCAGCAGGAGCAGCAGCAGCAGCAGGCGCCGCCGCCGCAACAACAGCCACCACCGACACCUCCGCCGCCACCGGCCCUGGAACAUGACCAGAUCCUCAACAACAGCGUCCUCAAGCGGGCUUUCAAUCCCUACGGCGCUGCGGCUUAUAACUUUAUCACAAUGGGGAGUUACAGGGGAGGGUUUGGUACGUUUGCCAUCGUUGGCCUUUCAUCCAAGCCUCUUCAUGUUUAUGGCAAGCCGGCUUACCAAUGCGAAUGGGUUCCUCAGAAUGACACCAAGAAAUCAACUUUCGCUAAAUACACAUACAAAAUGCUCCCCGAUUGGGGCUACGGCCGCGUUUACACUGUUGUUAUUGUGAAUUGCACGUUUGCCGAGCCUGUUAACGAUGAUAAUUCUGGAGGAACUUUGUAUUUACAUGCAUCUACGGCUGGUGGUGGGGAUGCGAAUUUUAAUUUAACUGAUGUGGUGUUUGCUUUGGAAGAGAAGCCUGGGAGUGUUGAUUUUAGUGUGUAUAGGACUUAUGAGCCUAAGUACGAUUAUUUCUACUGUGGGUCGCCAUUAUAUGGAGGCUUGAGUCCGCAGCGUAUUCGGGAAUGGAUUGCUUAUCAUGUGAGGCUUUUUGGGGAAAAAUCGCAUUUUGUGAUUUAUGACGCGGGCGGGGUUCAUGAGGAAGUGUUUCAAGUGUUGAAGCCAUGGAUGGAUUUGGGUUAUGUGACAUUGCAUGAUAUUAAGGAGCAAGAACGAUAUGAUGGGUAUUAUCACAAUCAGUUCUUGGUUGUGAAUGAUUGUUUGCAUAGAUACAAGUUUAUGGCUAAGUGGAUGUUCUUCUUCGAUGUUGAUGAGUAUAUUUUUGUGCCACCAAAGAAUACCAUCAAGUCUGUGCUUGAUUCUCUCAUGGGUUAUAAUCAGUUCACUAUUGAACAGAUGCAUAUGAACAGUCAGCUUUGUUUUGCUGGUGAUUCAGGAAAAGCUCACAGGUAAUUUCCCUUAAUUAUUAUUAAUUUUUCUAGGAUUAUAUAUUAAUUCAAAAUUGCUAGUUUCUUAGAAUUUAAUAUGAAUCAUUUCAUAUCUGUUGAGAUUGAGAAACAUUGAUCUUUGAUGACUAGGAACAAAAUUUGGGUUUUCUUUUAAUUAAGAAAAACUUCUAGGGGUCGAAGGAAAAGGAAUGCAAAAAUUUAGGGGGAAAUGUUUGUUGCGUGUCUUUAGAUUCUAAAAUGCCCUGUCGUUUUAAUAAUUGCCAGAUUUGGCAUUUGAAUUGAUCAAACUGAGUGUAGGAAUAGUAAAAUCAGGACACAGUUCUUGGUAGCUAUUGUUUGAUCCCAAAGUUGGUUGAAUUUUUCCUGGCAUGUGAAAAAUGCAAAAAAAAAAAAAAUCCACCAUCAGCAAGUUUUAACUUCAUUAAAUCCACCAUCAGCAAGUUUUAACUUCAUUAACCGAUGUAAAUGUGAAUUCUCAAUAUCAAUAAUGCAUGUGUGAUGAGGGUAUAUUUGGUAUUCUAUCAAAGCAUGAGCUGUAGGUUAAGAUUUAGUAAUUGUGGGCAUACGAACACCGUGUGGUACUUGUCCAUUUGUUUGAUUUGUUUUUCUGAACAUUUUAAGUUUGUGGUGGUUGAGUGAUUGGAACAUAUUUGAACUGGUGUUGAACAUAUUUAUAUGAGAGAUCAAGUGGUGUGUGGUUGUUUGGAGUUUUUCUUCUUGUAUGUUGGUGUUUGAUUCUUCCUUCUCUUCAUUGUAUUAGAACAGGUGGAAGUGAGGUGGGUCUGAACUUUGUUCUAAUGUGACUGACCUAUGAUUGGGACCUUAUUAAUUAGUUUAAUAGUAUUAUGCUUCUUUUUUAAAAAAAAAGGUCUCUCAAACCUUUAAUCACCAAUGCUCUCUUCUUCCGAAAGACAUGUAGAAUGACACAUCAAUAAAAAAAUGGAUUAAUUGCAUUCAUGAAAUGGACUUCAAAAGAUGAAAUAUGCAAUGGGUGCUGAUGUUUAUAAAAUCUAGAAACAGACAUAAUGAUAUGGACAUAGAUUAAUGAUAUCUUGAGAUGUGGGUUUUGUAAACAGUACGCUACUCAGUGUAAUAUCCAUUUUUGGAAUCAUGAUUAUGGCCCCUAUCCAAUGAGCUUCAAUCUUGCUAGAUUUUGAUUUCCUUUUCGAAGAAGUGAGUUGAGUGCUUAGUAGAUUAUGUUGUUGAAUCAGGAAAUAACUAUUAGAAUCUAUUCGUUUUUAAAACACAUUCUGCAACAUUUUUAGUAUGGUUGUUGAUGCAUUUUGUUCAUGUUCCUCUUAUUUAAAUACAGGAAAUGGGGAUUUGAGAAGCUUGUAUACAAGGAUGUAAAAAGAGGUAUAAGGAGGGAUCGUAAAUAUGCUGUUCAACCGCGCAAUGUGUAUGCCGCAGGGGUGCACAUGUCGCAAAACCUAUAUGGUCAGAUAACCCACAAGACAGAGGGCAAGAUCAAAUACUACCAUUACCACGGCACGAUCGCACAACGGACUGAACCCUGCACAACCUUCAUCAACUGGACGAGAUACAACUUUGAGAACACACCUUAUGUGUUGGACAUCACAAUGAGGGCCGUAGCAGGAGCUGUGAAGAAAUUCGAGCUCGCAAAGAUUGGCGAUAGAUUAAAACACACUCGCCAAUGACCUUUGUAUUUAAGUUAAACCGGGUUUUUUGAACAAUCUGAGUUUCUUUUCUUUUCUUUUCUUUUCUUUUUUCCUUCAUUAUCUAAAUAUUUCAGGGAGAGAGAGCACGGAACUAGAACACAAACGUAUUGAAAUUUCAUUUGGGGGGUGUGCUCUGUAAGUCCUCUUUUGUAUGAUAGUUUUACAAUUUUUUUAAGGGAGAAAAAAAAAAAAAAAAAAAAANNNNNNNNNNNNNNNNNNNNNNNNNNNNNNNNNNNNNNNNNNNNNNNNNNNNNNNNNNNNNNNNNNNNNNNNNNNNNNNNNNNNNNNNNNNNNNNNNNNNNNNNNNNNNNNNNNNNNAUUUUUUUAAGGGAAAAAAAAAAAAAAAAAAAAAAGAGUACAGAGAGAGUGAGGUACAGGUGGUAUAUGUGGACUGUAUGUGCAGGAUUUUUAGAGAGUUACGUUCAUUUUUUUUCUUUAACAUUUUAAUAUUCAAUUUUAAUAUAUUUGAUUCUUGAUUCUUUCAUUAAUUAUCAAUGGACUUGGGGUUUUUUUUGUUGUCGGUGAGAAACGGGGCCACCACCUCUUUCCACCAGCGAGAGCCAGCCAAAGUGCCUUGGGUUGGCUUCGCUGCCACACUUUUUUUUUUGUUUUCUUUGUUUUCCUCUCAUCAUGGACUUAUGCUUCGUUGAAGAGAGAGGUCGCUUUGUGUAAUAUGGAAUUGUAGUAAAGCAGAUGGAUGCCAUUAUUAUUUUAAGCAAAAGCCAAAAGCCGGAAAGCUGUUGUCCUUGGAGCUUUUUGACAAAGUUGUCAAAAAAGGGGCAUGUGAGUUAUGAUAAGGCUAGCACUAGCUAGAAUCCAAUAUCAAACGUCUAAUCAUUUAACUAAUUCACAGAAGGCAAAAAAAUAAGGGGAAGGAGUGAAAUUAUAAGAUUUGACGAGCGAGACAAUGAGGAUUAAACAAUUGGAAUACUUCUGGACGACUCUUCUCCCCUUAUGUUAUAUAAUACCUUCAUUUUCCAAAACAGUUCCUCUUUUUUUUUUCUUUUUUCUUUUUUCUUUUUUUUUUCCUUGUUACCUCGUAAUUUUGUCAGUAAAUGAGAAAUUGUAAAAAUUUGUAUGAAAAUGGGAGAGAUUGAAUGAUGGUCCAUGGAGGAGGGGUUUGGUGGGUGGUCCCGUUGCUUCACGUGUUUGUGAAGCCGUUAAUAAAGAACAAUCAUAAUGAAUGAUGAUGUGCUGAUCAAUUCAUCUAUAAGAAGCAGUAGCAUACACUGAUACACGUACAUAUACACUUUGAAUUUUGAUUGGACUAAAGUUGGUAGGCAAAGGAUAGUUCCAUCUGUGCAUCCUUCUUAUUAGUUAUUAGUCCCAUUACCCUCAGCCAAAGCCAACGGACGGUCCAAAAAGUGAUUUACAUUCAAUAAAUUCCCCAACUGUAUUGUUGUUAUUACCCUCAGCCAAAGCCAAUGCACGGUCCAAAAAGUGCUUUACAUUCAAUAAACUCCCAACUGUACUAUUGUUAUUCUCUGGCUCACUGCAUGUGUAUGCUUCACAAUUUCAUUCAUUUUCAUCUUCAUGGCUCAGAUUCUUUUUCAGGCAGUUUUUUUCUUUCUUUCUUUUUUUCUCUCAGCUUGCAAUUUUAAUGGCUGACAGUAGAUUGUCGUUGUACUUCCUCCGCUGGCUAGUGGGUGUGUCAUACAUGAACGUACUUUAUCAUUUGGAGUUUUGGAGUCAGAGUGGGGCACUAUGUUAAGACUGUAAAACUAGAGAGGUCACAGUCUAAAAGAGUCUAUGUUGCAGGGUCUAGUUUGAAAUAUAUGUAUAUACACCCUGUAUUGCAUCAUAUUAAAAUCAUUUAUGGGAGAGUUGAAGAUAAGGUUGUUUCGUACCCAGUGGCUUCCCGGCCCUAAAAAUCAAUGAGGCAGGUUAGAAAAAUAAAUAAAUGAGGAAUUAACCCUUUUAAGUUUUUAAGGGAAAAAAAAAAAAAAAGAACUCUAUUAUUAGGCUAAAUUUUUUUCAAAAUAAUGAAUGAACCAAUCAAUUUUAGUUGUUAUCUCAUUGUUUUCUAUUCUUCUCCUACUUUCAAGCAGUGACGUGAGCCACAAAUGGUCCAAAGCUGCAGCCAUAAAAGAAGGGAAUUUUUUCGACCAUUUCCAGCUGUUGAGUUGAAGCAGUGCUGUACCUGUUUGGCACCCAAAUUAAGAAAUAAGACAACCAAUCUUGUUUUUUGUUUCCUUCUCUACAAUUAUUCCCUAUUUUAAACACGAUUCCUUUUUUCUUUUUCUUUUUCUUUUUUCAUUUGUUUAUGCAUAUGUCAAAGCCUCAAUGUUUGUGCAUGUUUCCUAACACUUUAAAACAAAUCUUCUAAAGAAUCAUAGACCUUGAUCCAUACAUAAUGAUACAAAAUUUAUCAACCACAAAGUUGCAUUAAAUAAACUAAUUAUAAUUUAUUUAAUAUAAGAAUCUUAUUAAGUUACAUAAUUAUAUAACAUACAUCAAUCCAAUAAUUAUUAUCAGUAACAUAAAGUUAAUUUUUGUUAGUUAUACUUUUAUGUUACUGGUAACAACUGUUGAGUUAAUGUAUGUUACAUAAUUAUGUAACUUAAACAACCACCUUAAUACACUCUUAAAUUGAUUUAACUUACAUCAAUAUGUAACAAAACUCUUACCAAUAAAUUAAGGAAGUCCCUAAGUUACUUAGCAUUUAACAUAAAUUAAACAUCAUUGAGGUGCCUUCAUUUCUAUUUUUCUGUAGAAUCACAACAUUUUCAGUGCCUCUGAAUGACUCACGACAGUUUACGACAUCUUGAUAAAUUUUCUGAAAUUUAAACAAAUUCAGGACCCUCGUGUAAAAGCUGCUUUUCCCCUCAAUUAGUUAUCGUUAGUCUAAGCAUUCAAAAAAAAAACUUCACAACUCAGUAUUAUCUGGCAGUGCCCAAAAAUCUUUUUCAUUUUUAAAUUUGCAUAUUUUAAUUUUUAUAUAUUAUUUGUAGAAGACUGGAAAUGAUGGGGCUCUGAACACAUCACAUGAAGGCAUGUGGAUUUGGGAAUUUUAGAUGACAUUUCAUAUGAUAUAUGUGAUUUUUUGGGUUAGGCUUCAACGGAGGAAGGGAUUAUUGGAGAAACAGAAGAGAUUAUUUUCUAUAUUUUACUUGUUUAUGGGUCACCUUAAGUUUGGUUUUCGAGUUAUUUAUUAUGUGAGAUCUUUGGCCAUGUGACUUUAUCAUUGCAUUAUUAUUAUUUUUUUUCCUUUCUAAGGAGUUGGUCAUUGCAUUUAACUGAUCAUUAAUUAAAUUAGAUUUUUUUUGGGUUAAUUGGUUUUUAUUUAUUUACUUUUGAUUGAGAGGAUCUAUGGUUGAAAAAUGAGUAAUUUGUGUCAUUGUGUGGCUUGAAUUUAUGCGUGUGGUUAUGAAUAUUGUUAGGUUGGAUCGUAAGAAACACCAACCAUUAUACGAAUAUAAUUCCAUUUGAUAAUAAAUAUGUAAUGUUAUCUUAUUUUAUAUUCUCAAUUGAUGUGAUAGAUAAUGUGUUAUUAUUUCAUUAGUUGAGUGAUAAUUAACUAUUAAGACUUAUAAUUUAUAAUUUACUUAUAAUUUAUAAUUUAUAAUUCAAUUGAUUAAAUUUUAUAGAUGACGUCACUCAUUACAAAAUGAGUAAUGUUGGUCAUCUCAAUAUCUAAAUUUUAAUUUUAGUCCCCAAUCGAUGUGGUAUUAAUCAUUCAUUGAAUGAUGUUAAUAAGUAAUUUUACAAAUUCAUAAUUCAAUAAAUGAGUGGCACAUAUUACCACAAUUAAAAUGUUAAGACUCUCGCAUUACUAAUAUAAAAUUUGUAAGUCAUCAAAAUUAUCGCCAGUCCCUAUACGGCUCUGCCAUUGGUGCUAUUCAUCAAUUGUGGUUGUUUAUUUUCAGAGAACUAGUUUCCAAUCUCCACAGUCUUGACAUGCUCAAUGGUAUAAUUAUUUGUGGUGGUUAAGGAUCAUUUCCUUUUAAGUGUUCUUAUACAUAUUUAUCACGAAGGUAAAUGUGGGGGUCGAUGUUCUUGUGAAUAUUAAUUGGUUUGUCUCGUGACGGUUUCAUCUGGUGGGAUAGUCCCCUUUUUUGUAUUCGUAAGAGCUUUAUAGCGGUAACUAACUUAGACUGAAUGAGCAGUAUUAGUAUAUAUUAUAGCAACAAAUUAUAAUAAUUAUUUGUACAAACUAAUUAAGUAGCACAUACUUAUAAUGAAGAUGUUCUAUUAUCUUAGAAAUCGUGUGAUUAUACCUCCGAGAUUAAAAGUGCAUACCUAUACCGUAAGUCAAUAUGAAAAAUUAUAAAAGGAAAAUUAAUUAUAAAAUGAUCGCUAAUAAUUUAUAAUUAUGAACUUACAAAUUUGUUUAUUAUAGAUCAGCGACACAUUAGAACAUUACUGUAAAAAUAAAACUGAAAUUUCUAUUUUGUCUAUUAUUAACUCUCAUAUGAAAAAGAAAAAGAAAUAGAAUUAACACUCACUUAGUAAUGAUAUUCCAACAGGAGACCGCUGAAAUCGAGCUAAUACGGAGCCAAUGUAGUUUGGGCCAAGUUGGGGUCCUAAAACAUUUUUCCUCUGCUUUAUGCAUGUUUCCAAAUGAACACUGGCAAGUUUGAGACACACGUCAUUCAAAUUUUCUGCAAAGUGGGAACAGAUAUAAGUAAUUAGCAAUAUCCACGAUACUAGAAUCUCAAAAAAAAAAAAAAAAAGCAAUGUACCAUUAACAUCUUACAAUAAUAAUCUUCCUCUUAAUAAAAAAAACUGAAAAUUCACGAACCAAUGAUGACAUCCAAUGUCUUGUCUAAUCUAAUAUCUAUCAACAAAUGAAAAUAAUACCUAUAUACACUGUAUGGGUGUUGUGACAAAAAUAAUCAUGUCUGCUUGAACUGUAUGUAGAGGUUUGCUGAAUGUGAAACGAGUGUGAGCAGUGAUCUUACAAUUAGCAGUGUUCUUAUUCUGGUCUUCAAAUUUCCGUGUCCCUUAAAGAAGUUGCUGGUCUCUAUCUGCAGUUGAAAAUCUGCUGGCAUUUCAGUUUUAUUGGUGCAACUGCUAUUCUCUUCUUCUCUUGUGACACGAUUUAUUUCUAUUUCUUUUAAGGGUUUUGACAGCUCUUUUUAAUGACCUGCUUGGCUGCUUAUAUUAUUUGAGACUCAAUUUGUGACUUAGAUAUUAGGAUGCAAAGCAUAAAGGUUCAAUUCAACAGAAACAGUGCUUGAGCCGAGCCGAAAGGGCUUGUGGGAAAUUAAUUAAUGAGAUUAAUCAACAGUAUAUAGAUAAAAUCACAGCAUUAAUCCGGCUCCUGCGUUCAUCCUCCAAAGUUGCAGAGCAUUACUAAAUUUCUCAGUCUCUAAUCUAAAAGCGUCAGAACGAAUACUAGAGAUAAUGUCCUGUGUUUGCUGGGUAUAUACGGCCAUUUCUGCCUUUAGUUCAUCCAACUUCUGCGAAAGCAUGGACAUCUCCUCAUGGUGGUACCGAAUGGGGCUGCUUUGAUACAGUUCCGUAUCAACUCCAUAGCGAGCUCGCGCUACUGCCUUCAGAUGGUCAAAGACAAAGUCAAUUUUAAACCCCGUUAGUUGAGCAGCUUUUAAGUACCACCACCAGGUGAAAAGCAAUUUGUUGGUGAUGUCCUGAACCUGAGUGCUGCACAUGCUCUGCACGGUCGCACACAAAAAGGUGAGCAUAAGAGUCUUCUUGUUUUGGCUUAAAAGCAACCGUCACCCAUAUCCUCCUUUUUCUUAAGCAAGCCCUUAAGAACUCCGGCAAACGUUGGAAUGAUUUUGUAAUCUCCUAAGCUGAUAAGCUCGGACUGCGUGUCCUCCGGACUGAUUGGUUUCAGUAAUUUACCCGUGUCUAACGAAGAGAUAUCUUCCACUAGCAAUAGGAAAUCUUCAUCCGAAAGAAAAUCUUUCGAAUUGCUUACAUCUGCUGCAGCUUCAUGAUGCCUAGCCUCAGAAAUUUUGUUACGAAUCUUUCGGUUUUCCUCCUCGAAAGCAUUGAGCACGUCCAUAUAUGUAUUGUCUUUUUCACUGUCGGAGUCGCCCCCUAUUAUGUCUUUGAAGGUUAAGACUUUACCUAUUGUAUCACUAGUUUUGCUGUUGAUGGUUAUCAAAUGGACAUCUCCGGGCUUUUUCAGCAGAGCAAGUAUUACCUACGUAUACACCAAGCAAGUUCUUUAUGAGAUAAAUCAAGAUGAUAUUGUUAUAAGCUGGUUUGAAUAUGACAUCCAAUGCAACUAUUGAAGAUUAAUAUGAUUUUUCUAAAAAAUAAUCAGUAGGCUUAGUUACCUCAAUCACACACAUAAAAUCUGCUAUGUAAUCACAUUCUUCGCAGUAAUAAACGCGUUCUUGUUGGUCUCUUUCCUCCUCACAGACAUCACAAAUUUGCGUACCGUAAUUACCAUCAGCAUGUUUAUCCAUGAGAGUUAGCGAAUGUUGAUGGUGACUCAUGUGUUCAAUAGUUAGUGGCAGUGGAGAAAGCAUGAGAUGGAGAGUGAAGUUGCAUUUCAGACAAUCCUGAAAGGAUGCUUCGCUAAUGGCAAAUUUGUAUUUCCGGCAUUUGGCGGUGUGAUUUAACUUUUCAACGAAAGCAUAAAUAGGGUCACCACCUUCAGAUACGACUCGAGAUUGUAGUGUAGCGCAAUCAAAAUCUAAAACAAAGUCACAAGAAUCACAUUUGUAAAUGUGGCCAUGUAAAUAUUUCUGACAAGCAUCGCAUGUACGGCCUCUUUCACCAUCAUUUGUUGUGACAGUGAGAGGAUGUCUGUGAAGGACAUGUUGGAUCUGCCGUGGCAUCUGGGCGCAGGUUUUGUGAAGAUAAAUUCUGCAGGGAUCGCAGCCAUACGUUGGGUGAUUUUGAUCUUGCAUUAGUACCUUCCCACAUGCAUAGCACGGAACAUCAUCAUUUGUCCCAUUUUCAAGAGGAAGCAAGAAAUGGUUGUGGUCAAAAUGUACCAGUGCGUCAUUGAGUGGUACCUCAAUGACCGUACAACGCCAGUGUAUGUAGUAGCCGCAUUCAAUACAACAACAAAAGGGAUUCUGUGGUUCUAUUUCUUCCUUGCAGGCGUCACAGUAAAACAGAUCAAAUUUAUCUUUGACAAACGAAUCAGUAGGGAGAGUGAGAGUGAGAGUGAGAGAGUGGCCAUGAUGUAUAUGCUCAACGAUUGGUGGUGGUGAGGCUGGGCCACAGUGGACAUGAAAUUUAAAGUCACACUCAACACACCGGACAAAGAAUGCGCCUGGCUUAGUGUCAAAACUGCAUGCUUGGCAUGUGGUAGUCCCCGAUCCCGAUUUCAUUAGAACAAGAAGAUGCUCAUGACCUUGGUAUCUUAUUUUUGGCUUGACAGAUAUACAAUCAAGGUGCAAGUCAAAGUCACACUCAUCACAUAUUCACAUCGGUAGUGUUUGGCUGACAUAAUCAUUGAGUCACAUGCAUCACAAUAUAAUAAACCACGAAAUGUAUUUUGAAGUUUCAAACUAUGGGGCGCAUGGAAAGGGUGUAGGACUUGUUGCGGCAGUUCACUACAUGAAUUAUGGAUAUAGAACUUACACGGGAGGCAGCCAUAGCUCGGACCGAGAAUGUUGUUUCUGCAUAUGCGACACCAUUCCUCGUCCACCUCUAAGCGGAUCAAGGGAUGCCUGUGGCUGAAAUGUUCGAUGAUGUGCUCUUGAACUCGAUAAUGUUCGAUGAGUGUUGCAGCACAUGCAAAACCAAUCUGAAAAUUGCACAAGUCACAGCAGUACUUAUAGCCUUUGUGCGAUUGGUCGCAGAAAUCACAUCCAAACUCUAGAGUCCUCUUGAAAGAGAAAACAUCUGAUUCUUCUUUGAAGCGGAAACGGCAAUGUGGAUGAAAGUUGGUUUGGAGCAGUUGGGGUAAUUCGGCACAUGAUUGAUGGAACAAAGGAGAGUCAGAAUCGCAAUGUCCGCAGAUAUAAAAAUUACCAGAGAUUUCACCGAGGCAAGCAAAGCACCUCUCUGGACGAGACCCGCAGGAGCUGCAAUUUUUGGAUUCGUCAAAGUAACGACAGAAGCCACAACGACGGCAAUAUCCUUUGUAGUCAUGCUCAGAAAUGAAUGACAAGGGAUGCUGGUGGACAUGCAUGUGCAACUUUUCACUCUGCUCCAUCUCUCACCUCUCAUUCCUCCUCUUCCCUUCUCUGUUUUGCUCUUGCAGUUCGAUUUAGUUUACCAAUUCGGGAAACACCUCUACAUCAUUACUCUAAAACAUUUUCUUAUUGGAGGAAUCUCACUCGUUAUCACCAACAAUGGAGUUGACUUUAGGGAAAAAAUUAAUAUAUUUAGCGUAUCACGUUACAUGAAGCAAUAGAUGAGGAUUAAAAUUUUAAUUAAAAGAUAAAAAAUUAUUACUGUGUGCCCAUUGGCUGUGUAUUAGUCUAAUAUAUAUCUGUAAUCAGCUUGUUAUUAUAUUCUCAUCUUUUGAAUCUGAAUAAAAAUUAUAUUUGACAAUUCGGUGAUCACUUAAUUUGAGAUUCGUUUUCUUAUUUCUUUUUCUUUUUUUAACUCUUUUGGCAUUAGAGCACAAAAAAUUAGCUUUGUUAAAUGGUUGGUCAGUGAUUUCAUAAGGUUUGUUAUCCUUUCACUAUGCUAAGUAUUGUGAAAUAAUAAAUCACUACAUGAGUGAUUGAAAUAUAACACUUUUAAGUAAUUAACUUUUUUAAAAAAUAACAGUUUAUUAUAUUAAUUGACUUGUUAGUUGACUGAUAAAAUUUUAAUUUUACCCGUAAUGAAUAAGUUCCAAAAUAAAAAGAAAAUAAUACAAAUCAAUACCAUGUGAAUUUACAAUUUUACCUUGUUCUUACCGCGAGUCGCUUAAAUUUAUAAUGAUAUUUGAAUGAUGAUAUAGCCCCUGCAAUGGAUCUAUUGCAUGAUCAAUUGUAAAUUAAUGGAAAUGUAGUACAUUGUUAUUCUUAAAAAGUUAAUGUAGUAAGGUGUUACCUCCAGCGGCGGAUUUAGAAAAAUAAUUUAUCGGGGGCUAAAUUAGAUAAUAGUAAAAUAUAAAAAACUAAAAUUUUGAAUAUAUAAAAUAUUUACUAAUACAUUUAUAAUUAGUCUUUACGUAUUUUUGUUAUGCAAUAGACUCAUUAUCAAUAUUAUUAAAUUUAUUGUUUCUUAUAUAAACAACCAAACUAACACUUAUCCCAUCCGAUUCCAAAGAUGAUUCUUCAUGAAUUUUAUUACUGAAAACGUUUGUUCCACUAUUAUUAUAGAAACUGGAAGAAUUAACCAUAUUUUUUAGAUUAAAUAUGGAUUUUUAUAUUUUUUUAAAGUUAAAAUUUAAAUUUUAUGGGGGUUUAUAUUUUAUAGUGACUAUUUUAAUAAAUUUAAUGGGGGCUAAUUAGAAAAUUAAAAUAUUUUUCUCUUUUAUUUUUUAAUUUUUUUUUUGGCCAGUGGGGGAGCCCCCACUGGUCAUGUGCUGCAUCCGCCCCUGGCCCCUAGUUACCUCUCAAUAAUUCGUCUAGUAAUUUGUUAUUUCAUAAUACUUGCCAUAUUGAAAGAAUAAUAAUCCUAAGACCUAAUUACAAAUUUGGAUUUCAUUUGGUGAAAAUACGAUUUUGCCUGUAUGACAUCAAUGUGGCAGCAUAUUUAGAUUAACACGAGUGAUAGAAAUAUAAUAAUUGUUAUUUUUAAAAAGUUGAUGUAAUAAUGUGUUACUUUAAAUAAUUCGUGUGGUGAUUUUUUUUUCAAUACUUGUAGUAGUGAAAGGAUAAUAACAUAUUUCAUAAUGAACAAAUAAUGGAUGAAGUGCCCCUUUGACAUUGACUUUCUUUAAUUACUUUGUCAACAAAUCAAUUCCCCGCUUUUUCCUGAAUUUUAUUAAAUCAAAUGCUUUUUUAAUAAAAAAAUAUGAUAUUACGAAAGAUAAUUUUGGCUUAAUAUUACUUAACUAAUAUGCCAAUUAGUAAUCGACGUCCAAAAUGUGAAUGUGGCUAAAGGUAUUAGCUUUGACUUAGCCCUAGAGUUUCUUGAGUUCGACUUAAAAUUUUAAAUCACUCAAUAUAGUUCUUAAUUAAGCUAGAAAAGAAAUUGUACUAAUUCCUUCAUCACUUUCAUGUCGGAGAUCUUUUAGCCAAAACACUUGGGAGUGAAGGAUUUUUCAUUUUUUUUAUUUUUAUUUUUUUGGGCAAACAUCAUUUUUUAAAUGAGUAAUGCUAUACAUCACAAUUUUUUUGUCCCAAAAAAUUAUCCCAAAUAAUGUGGCAUUCAACAAUUGGUUGAUUAGAUAAUACAAUAACUUCAUUUAGAUCUUAAAAAAUUACCAAUCGCUUAAUGAAUGAUAAAUUGCUUUGGAUAGAAUUUGGGAUUAAAACAAAAAAUUGAGAUGUGUCAUUAUUUUUUUUUCAAAGAAUUUAGACCCGUAAUUAAAGGAUAAUUGUUAUUUUAUGCACAUGUUGUGUAGAUUUUGAAUUUACAUCCGAGAAUCACGGAUUACAAAAACAUCCGGAAACUAAAUAUAAACAAAUAUGUAUUCAGAAGUGAAGGGGAAAAAAACACUUUAAUUUUUAUAAAUGUAUUGACAACUCAUAUGACAGGUCAACAAUUGACGAAUAUGAUUUAAAAACUUUAAUGGUGUGUUUACUAAUCAGUAAUCGAAAUAGAGUGGAAUCGAAAUAGACUGGAAUCAAAAUGAGGAAUGAGAAUCAGAAUAAAUUAUUUACUUUAAAUGUGGGAAUCAGAAUUGGAAUGAAUUGUAUUGUCAUUGAUGUGUUUAUUUUAUCUUAAAAUCAGAAUAGAUAGUUAUAAGUUACUAAACUGACCUUAGUUUAUUAUUGUCAUAAUAAUAUGAUAAAAAAAAAAUUAAGAUUUAAGUGGAAGUAGUAUAGUCACUUUAGGAAAUGAAAUGUGAACAUGAUUAGAUUUGAAUCCAAUAUUGUAUUAAUUUCUUUCUCUCUUUUUCUUUUUUCUUUUUUGUUGGGAGGGGGUCCUUCUAGUGUUUUAAAAAUUGAGAUCCGCCAAAUGAGCCCAUAUAUGCUGACCCAAUAUUGGCUGUUGGACACUUAUUAUUGAAACCUAUGGCCACUCCUGCGCCUAUCUGCUUUUUUAACUAUUUUUUUGAUAGGCCUUUUUAUGAUACCGCAAUUCCUUUUACGCUAUUAAUAUGGACGGUUAAAUUUAAUUGAUAGUACAUAAUAUUUAGGGGUGUUCGCGGAUAAGAUUUUAUGAAUUAUACAUUAAUUUAUAUUCGAUCCACGAUUUUAUGGAUUAUAAAUUUUCAAUCCAAUCAAAUUCACAGAUUUGUGAAAUUCAAUUCAAAUCUAAUCCAUACAUAUGCGGAUCGAAUGCAGAUUUGACCCAAUCUACCAUUUUGCAAAUUAGUUUGCAGACCAAAAUUUUUUAAUUUUGUUCAAUCCAUGAACUAACUAAAUAAAAAAAAAUUAAUAUAAAAAUAAUGUUACUACCAAUCAAAUUUAAAUUUAAAUAAGAUUUAAAUAAAUUAAUUAUUUAAAUAAAGUUUCAAAAUAUAACACACCAAAACAAAAAAAAAAAUCUUAUUUGUUUAGAUCAGUACAUGGAAAUUAACUAUUUAGAAAGCUAUAUUUGUUUAUUUAAUUAUUUUUUUUUUUUUAUUAUUAUCGGAUAAGAUAUAAUAUAGUGUUAAUGUAACUAUAUUUUAACUUAUUUAUUUACUAGUAAGUACUAAUUCCUUAUUUACAACUUUUUUAAUUAAAUAAAUACUUUUUUAUUUUUUGCGGAGUCGUAGAUUUUUGCGGAUUUACAGAAGUAGAUCCAUAUCCAAUCCACCGAUUGCGGAUUAUCAAAAUUUCAAUCUAAUCCAAUCCACCAAUCCACGGAUCAGAUUUUUACAUAUCAAAUUUCUCCAGACCAGAGCGGAUCGGAUUGAAUUCUGAACACCCCUAAUAAUAUUUGUAUUAAAAAAAAAUUUGUAACGCUAAUAACAACAUAACGAAGUGAGUGCAUUUAAAUGAAUGUCAUAAAUUAAAUUAAUAAACUUCUUAAUGAAAUUGUCUAUAACAUAAGAAUAUUUGAUUACCCAUGUUUUAGUAAUAUUUAAUAUUAUUAAAAGCACCCACUAUUUUCUACAUAUAAAUAACUAUUGUAUAAUUGAUCAUGAAGUAUUUAUUACUUUUAAUAUCCAUUUAGCAUACCUAUACGGCUAUACCAUAAAAUUACGGUUUAUCUUACAAUCACUAUUCUCACAUAUUAGGAAAUUAUCCAAGUCCUAUAAAAUUUAAGUUCCAUAAGUCUAUUUUAAUUUUUUUUUCCAGUAUCACUUUUCUGCUUUUAUAAAAGGUGAAUCCAAUAUAUAUACUUAAUUAUCUUUAGUUUAUAAUUCAUAAAAAAGUUAUUUUAUCAAUAUUCUAUAAUUGUGAUUAUAAAAUUUUAUGUUACUAAGAAUUACUACUUUUGUGAUGGUAAUUAAUGGUGAAAAUUGAAAAGAAAAUUACCUGCAAUAAUGUUCAUACGAGAAUGAAUGAGGAAAAAAAAUUCUUUGUUAAUUUUUAUUUUUAUUGUAAAAACAUGGUUUGAACUAUUUUAACUUAAAAUUUUGACACGAAAUUUGAGCCAUUAAUCUCUCACAAUCUAAUAGUUGAUAUUGAAAGUAAAAGUAUAUUAUAAUGUCAAAUCAUCUAGUAUUGAAUUGGAUGAAAUCAAUAAUUAGAAUUUUGUGCAAAAAAUUAAAUUUAAGUAGCUUUUAUAUAUAUAUAGUAUCAUUAAUGAUAUAUACCAGAUAAUUUAUUACAAUGCAUUAAAUCAUUAAUGUUUAGGUAUUAAUGGUUUUCCAAUUAAACUCAAACAAUAUGAAUUAUUGUAAGACCUUAUGGAAUAUCUUAAAUAAAGUGUAGUUGAAAUAGUUAAUUACAUUUUACUUAUAUACUAUUUUCCUUUAUCAAUUAAUUAAAAUAAAAAAGAACUUAUGUUUAUAUGCAACAUGAAAACUACUUGUUACUUUUUAGUUAAUUAAUUAUUUAUACAAUUAUUAAAUGAAUUUUAGAGAUUAAAAUACUGAAAUCCAAGGAUCCACAAUAACUGUAUUAUUAAUAAUGUAAAAACUUAUAUGGUAUCAUAUAAAAAUCCAUUUUAGAUAGAAGAGAACAUAGUAUUGAUUUUCCCUUUUUAAAUUUUUAUCUUUCAUCUUACGAAUCACGUCAUGUGUAGUAACAAAUUAAUAAAGUUAAUGGUAUUUUUAACCUUCUUUUUUUUCAAAAUCCCAUAACGAAAAUUCAUCAAAAGCAUGUGAAUGUGAAUGUGAAUGUGAAUGUGAAUGUAAAUUCCAUCCGGUAAUGGUAAAGAAAUUGCUAGUGGGAGAUGUGUCUUAAUUAAAGUUCAUCACAUGGUCAACUCGGAUGCAUGUAUCAUAAAAUCUAUUUCCAAGAUAUUUUUUUGGCUCUGGGUAACAAUUGAACAAAUUAUUUCACAAGCAAAGAAAAUUGAACUUGAAAGUUCCAUCGAUAGAACAAAACAUUAAUGAUUCAACGGACGGCGGAGGAGCGGCACGUCCGCAGCGAUCGGCGUCGAUGACUAAUGUUGGUGGGCGCGGGUCAACAGGAGCGCCUUGCGGCUACGUUUUACGUUUGAGCGACGCUACUAAAUAAGUAAUGCUAGGUGUAGAGAAGCACGAGAGAAAGACAAGAGAAUUUUGUCCUCUUUCUCUUUACCCACUCACUUUCUCUCUACCAUUUUCUUCUUUAUUUCUCUUAUUUUCUCUCGUGCUUCUCUUCACUAAGCAUUUUCCCUACUAAAUAUUUUCGUAGCACUAGUAGUAACUAGGCCCUACGGAUACAAUCAUACAAAUGAGAAAUUGAAGUUUUAUUUUACUUUAUAUCCAACAGGUCGUCUAGUUUUAAAGUAUAUAAACGACAUUACAUAAAAUAAUUAAAUUUUAUAGUUGACAAGACAACCAACAUAUUUUCAUAAGAGCACUGCUAAAUGAACAAAGGAAUGACAAAGGGACGACAGAAAUAAAUAUCUGUGGAUCUACUUUAUUAUUUAUUGUCGGCCCCACAAAACAAAUUAAAAAAAGAAACACGUGAAACGGCAGCAUUGGCUGCCGUUUCUGUCGUCCAUUUGUCUUGCAUUUGUUCGUUUAUCAUUUUCCUUUUCAUAAUCGAUAAGCGUAAAAGAUAUGCAUCAACCUAGUCUAUGGAUGCGUCGUUUCUAUUGUUUUAUAGAAGCAGUACGACAUGACGCCUGAAUGUUUCAUAUCCCUAUACUUUGUAUACGUGAUUUUCAUCAUAUAAUCAUAUGCAUACAUAUUGUUAUUUGAGAAUGAGACCUCAAUUUUUGUUUCGACCAAUUUGAAGAAACAUGAAACAUUAAUAAUUCUCACUAGUUUAUAAAUUGAAUUUUAUAAAAAAGAUUUCAAUAUCAUGUGAUUCAUGUAAACUCAACACGUGCCAAAAUCACCUAAUUUUUAGCAUUACACGAAAAGAAGUUCCAUAUUGCAUAUAGUUUGCGUUGCAUAAAAUAGCAAGGCCAAAAUACCAGCAUUCAAGGUGACAAAAUAUGUGUAUCUCAAGCACUCUGAGCUUCUAAGAAGGCAUUGAAGUCCUCCCUGGCCUUGCGCAGGCGAGGCGUAAUGCAAGAAGCUGGAGAUGAAGGGUAUGAUGUGGGAGAUGACACAGAAAACCGAACAUGCCGAGAAGGUUCUUGGGAUUUAUGGGCUGACGUUGUGGCUCUACUUGAACCAUUUUUAAGAACACCCUUUACAUCCUUGUCGAAUACGAAAGCUGCAUUGAUGGGAGAGUGAGCGUCGUUCGCACUGUUUCUGAUCAACUCCAAUGGCAGAUCAAAGUAGAGGUUCAUGGAGUCUCCGUCUUCUUCAUGUUCAUUAGCAAUAGCAGAUGACGCCCAUGAUCCACAUUCGAAUUUCUCUAAAGAAACUGUCCUGGAAAUCACAUUUUCCAUCACAACCAUUUCCUCCUUUCUUGGCCUCACUGCCUUCGCUUUGCCGAAGCCUGGGAGAAACAAGCAAAGGGCGCUGCAUUUGAAUUCCGGAUCAUCAUGAGAAUCCAUGUUCUUGCUACUGCCGUAAUGAAUGUACUUGUUGGUGUCAGCUCUGGAGAAGCUGGCAUUUGACAUUUUGUUGUAUUCGCCGGCAUCCGGUUUACUCAAGCAAAAGUCUACUUCAUCUGAAUAUGCACUGGCUCUUCCUUCGCCGCAAGACUUGCUCUUUCUGAACGAUUCUUCUUGCAGCGAGGACGUAUGGGAUUGUACUACAGCAGAUUGCUGGCGGACAAUGUUGUGUACUUCACGGGGAGACGCUUGACUUUCGUUUUUCCAUCUCUUCUUCGACAGAAAUGAGCUCAACCGUGGGGAUGAUACAGCUGAGUUCGACAGGUUGUAGCUUAAGAACUUGGGUUUUGCAGGGGCCAGAACCGGCGGCAGAGGCACAGUGGUGUCUCUUGCGGAUGUAAUAACUGGAGGCAACAUCAAACUAAAACUAGGUUCCCUUAUUGAUAUCGGAUCCACCAAUAUCUGCUUUUCCUUCUCGGGGCUCUCCUUCUUGACUGUACUUUUAGCUUCUUCGAUGAUGUAGAAUCUUGAGUCAUCGACACCAUUGUGGACUUCCUUUUGUCCUGGAAAUGACAUGGUGUUAGGGCAGAAACCGCUGGGAUAAAGCAAAAGAUGGCCCGGGCUACUUAAAAGAGGAAAAAAGAGGUAGAAACAAGAUAGGACGUGGGCAGCAUGCCGUUGGCAUGUUAGUUGGUAGUGAUAUGCAUGUUCUCCAUUUCCUCAAUAAUAUAUAAGGAGACAUGUCUCGAUAAAAUAUAUUCUUCUCAAUACGAAAAUCAAACAAGCAAUGCAUGCAACAACUAACUGAAUAUUUUUUGUAUUCUAAUGUGACUUUUUUAUCAUGCUGAUGGCAUAGCUACUCUUGAGUCUUGACAUAUAAAAAGAAAAAGGAAAACAAGAGCUUGAAGAGAACACAAGACAGAGUUCUAAUUUUUUAAGUUAACGAUGUGCUUACAUUAAAACAACAUUUAUGCAUGAACGCAUGGGAGAAUCUACACUAUAAGCUAAUAAUAAAAUGGGUUUUAGGGAGUCUUUGAUCACAAAGUGUGAAUGAAAUUGUACCUUGAAAAGCAAACCACUGAAAGCAUCAAAUCCAUAAAUAUUCUGUGUCAUUUAUAAUGACUCUUCAGCGAUGGUUUUAGUAGAUUUCAGCGCUGUACAAAUAGCUCAUGACCAAUUAAAAGAGGAAAACUACUUUACAAAUGUACAUCCAACAGAAAUGUUAUUUCACUUCACUAAUGUGAUAUACAAAUUUAAUUCAGGACUGUUGAAUCUGGCGACACAAAGGUUAUACACUGAAGUUAAAUGACAAGACAAAAUUUCUACUGGAGAGAAUUAUAGAACAAAAUUAAGACAACAGAGAUCCCAAUGAUGACUGGAAAAGCCGUGACUAAGUACAGUGCUCCAUAACCCUGCAAGACAAUUAGCUUCCUUGGUCACAAUCCCCAACGAUUGCAGAACAUGAAUUUCACAAUUCCAAACAGUCGGUGUGUUAAUGCUGUCCUCACAAAGAUGUGCACUUCAAUCAGCAUUCACAUUCUAAAAGCAUUUUAAAAAUCAUAUUAGUCAACUGGCUUUUCAAUAAUGUAACAUUGUAAUAAACUGUGUUUACCCAUAGGGUUUGAUCCCCACAUUUUUGUGGAUUAACCUUUGAAUUAGAAAGUAAAUUUCAAUAAUCAGUUUGAGGCAAUCAAUUAGUAUCGGUAUAAUGACAAAGUAGCAGUCACAAUAUAAGAGGGUAACAGCAAGUAAUAAUUUGUUCAUAAUCUUUUAGAAUUUGACCAGUUUAACAGCUGCUACUUUAAUGAGAGCAGCAGCAACUCCAAGAUACAUUGGACAAAGACAGCCUCAUAGUCAUGGUAAACAGAAAAUUUUCUUCCAAACUGAAAAAUAGCCAGACACAGAUAUCAGAGAGAGAGGGAGAGAAGAAAACAAACCACAGCGGAAGGCACUUCUGGGUCAUCACCACCCCCCGCAUCUUCAAUUUCAGCAGCUGAAUCCCAAUCAAUGUUCAGUCUCUUUGCAGCCAUUUCAGGAUCAAUACCAGUGUCUGUAACUUUAGCAUACAAGGAUUUGCUAGGCUUCUGCUUUGUUGCUUCCACCUAUUCAAAAAAUAAAAAGAAAAAAGAAAAACAGAGCUAAUAUCAAUAAAUUAGCAAGGAAAUUAGCUAAUAUCGGUAAUUCAUAUGCUUAACAGUGUCUUGUCCUGAAGAAGAGCUACACAGAUACAGAAGUUAAAGGAAAUUUGGAAAAGAAAAAUGUAGCAUAAAGCUAUUAAAUUAAAUUUUAAGAAAUUUUCUUUCAAAACGGCAUCAAAUUAUGUUCAGGAAGCUUGUAUUAAGCUUAGGAAAGUUUUUACCAAAAAGAUAGGUAAAAUUGAUUGAGAUGAAAAGUUUACAGCUUAUAGACACUAUAAUGUUUGGAUCCAUCUGUAAAAUUCAGCUUAAUUUGACCUACCAUGUAAUGAGAGGCUCCCUUUUCAUUAAGGAACUCCAUAUGAAAUCUAGAAAAUGGUAAGCUGAACAUGAUCUUUAAAGGAGAGUUUCCUAAGUAUGAUGUGAUGAAGAAAGAGCGAAAAUUGCAUUUGAAAUGCCCAAAAUCCAAGGAAAGAAGCAUCUAAAAUUCUAGUAUGAGCAAGAUAUGGAGGAAACAUAAUCCAUAUAGACUUUACUGGUCUUCAGCAUACAACUUUUAGAUCCAUCAAAAUACAGAAAAUACUCUUGUUUUGUUGCUCAAGCAAAGUUUUCAUCUAUGAGAAGUCUUUAAUGGGGUCCUCACAUUUCUUUUUCAAGGUGCUUCUAUAAAGAAACAGUUAAUACAAUUUUGAAAAUAAAGAAAAGCAAACUGGUUGCUGUAUAGUUUAAUAUCUACCACAAGAUUAAGAAUAUUUAGGAAAUACUACAAGCCAGUAGACAUUCCUAAGUUUCCAUCAUGUACUAAGUAAUUUACAAUAGAUAAAAUGUUACAAAAUAGACCCUGCAAAGUAAAAUCUAUGAAACCACUCAGAAAUUAUCAACAAUACAUCAUAUAAAAGAUAGGGAAUCUGUACAAAGCUGACAGUGGAAAGGCCAUUCUGCCUCAAGCCAUGCAUAAAUGGGAAGAAAUUUCAGACCGAAACGGUAAAUUCAACCUAGAGAAAAGUGUACACUAAUCAACACUAGUUGCCCUGUUUCAAUGUAUGUGCACAUGCAAAUAUCACACAUCUCAACAUGAACAAGUAUAAUGCUCCCAAAGUAUGUUUAUACCUCUAAAUUAGGCCAUUGGACCAUUUCCUCGGCCAGCAUUCGCAGCGCAACACGAUUUUUUGGGACCUUUCCUUCAUUCACCUGGUAGACAAAUGAUUAAAUCAUCAUCAAUCUUGCAAGCGAGGAAAAGUGAUUUGAGGCUAUCAGUAGACUUUUAAGCUUUAAGGCUCAAACAUUAGACUGUAGUGUCUUUUAACACUUGACCGCAUUGCUAUAUAAAAGCUUGGAUACUCCUACUGAACAUAGGAGAGGAGAUAAUAUAACACAAAACCUAGUGCAGAAUAAAAAAAAAAUUACCCUGAGCAUUCCCUUCCAACACCUCUGUGCUGGUUCACCUAGAUCCAUACACAAGCUUGCUAGUGACUAUUUACCUAUGUAUUGUUUGUACCAAAUGCCACAUGUCAAUUCUUUGAGACAAUAAACGCUACAAUUUCUUUAGAAAAUAGAUGUGUCAAAUUCCCAAGAGGCUUUGCCUGUCAGGCGCCAAGACACGGCUUGCCAUGUCUUUGAGGAAUGAACUUCAUUAACAAAGAUUGUGAUUUUUAAUGUAUCCAUCUGGGACAGAAUGGCCUAGUAUAACCCCAGACAGAGUAGACCAAUAAGCACCUUAGAUGACAUAAAAAGGGGUAUGAAUCAUUGAGAAGAGUUCCUCAACUUAUUUCCUGUGUUGGACACCUAGGGGUCAGUCCCAGGUAAACUCUUACCUGAAUCAUAAGAAUUUUACUUAAGUUGGUAGAAUGAAUUAACAAUACAUUGAGAUAGAGACCCUUCUGCAAUGAUGGGAUUAUGUGUUCACUCUGCUUUAGAAAUACCAUUUAGUGGAGGACAAAGGUAACUGUCAGUCCAGUUGGCCUCAUAGAACUAAGCUCUAGUAUCUGGGGCCCCCAAGGUUUAUUUUCUACUUUUUCUAACAAAUGAAAAGAGUCUGGCUUCCCCCUCACCUGCUUCAGAAAAUGAUUUGUUAUGCCACAUUAUAUAGGUUCUCCUGUCAAACUGGACAACAGCCGUAUUGCUAUACGUACCCUGGUGCAUUUUUAUUACAUACAGGUUGUUUUCUCUUGCAAACUAAGAUACUACUAUCAGCUCAAAAAAUCUUGUGGUUUGCUGUCUGCACCUAAACUUUUGACACACUUAUCAUCUCCUUUAACAAUAAUCUGAAACAGCUUUUUUCCUUAAUUAUGCAGCAAGAACCACACAAAACAAUUGAAAUAAAAUAUUCAGACCUUGCCAAUUGAUACAUUUCCUUUACUAGAGUCGGGGGAGAUAGAUGGCAAAGAUUAUUUCAUAAGAACUCUCCUUAAAUGCAUUUCUAUUAAGCCUAUAGACAUUAAAUUGCUUCAAUAAGUACAAUGCAAAAUACCACUUAGUAUCAUUAGAAGAGAUCAAUGGACUUUAAAACUCUUUAGAUGAUCUUUCAAUUAACAAAUAUAAUAAUCUACAGCAACCUUUAUCACCAUUGAAUUUUGCAACAUCUUUCCCAUUUGUAAACUAUUCUCUAAAUUACAAAAUAUUCACAAAUUCAAGUAACUCCUCAUAUCAUAUUUUAGCCUUGAGGAGAAAUUUCCAAGAUAAUUUCAAUUCAAAUGUUUUUGUGGGUUACAGAUUGAAAAACAUCAAAAGUAAAUGAAAAUGUAGGGACUUACUUGCUCCAAAGCUUCAGCCAGAUCAUCUCUAGUAGGAGCAUUGGAAUCUUCAAUCCCCAACAAUCUCCUUCUCUCAACCUCUCUUGGGUCCUCAAUCAUUAUGGUAAGCUUAACCUACAAAUUCAGAAGCCACAAGUCGAAUUUUUCACAUAACUUCAAUGCAGAGAUACACAAAAAUGUAUAAUUUCAAAUAAAUUCUCCAAAAUCAAAUGCAUUCUUGCUAAGAAAUAAAUAAAAUUCAACAAUGCUAACACUUACUUCGCUGAAGAGCAUGUCACGGUUUUUCCUGAGAAGCUCUAAAACUCUUUUAACCUGAGCAAUGUUUUCCAAGUCUUCUGGGGUCGCUUCUUCUUCUUCUUCUUCUUCUUCUUCUUCUUCUUCUUCUUCUUCUUCAUCUUCUUGGUCUUGGUCUUGCAGAUCAUUUUCUUGAGCGACACGCAGAUCAGUGUCUCCUUUACCAACCAAAGCAACAACCCUUUGACUACUCCUUCUGCUACAACAAAGACAGAGCUUUGAAGCUCUCCAACUUGUAGCGGCAAACAAGGGAUGGUAUUGAUUGAUCUGAUUGUCGCUGUGGCGUAAGAUGAUGGGUGAAGCAAGCGGCAUUUGCGUAAAAGUUGCUGCCAUCUUGUUUGUUUUGCUUGAAAAGACUUUAUUAUAGCUUUUGUAUUUCCUUCAUCAAAUUCAAAGCAUGAAUUUAGUUCCCAGAUGAGCAAUUCCCCUGUCUUGUUCUGUAUAACUCUGUCGUUGUUUUGCUUUGCUUUGCUUUUCUUUGUUGCUUGCUUCACCGAGGCUCUUUUUCAUUCGUAUGGUUAAUUUUGCUUCUCACUUCUUGGAUUUCGUGGCCAGCGUAACAGAUUGGCUUUUUAAAUUAAUUAUUGGAUACUAACAUUCAACUCCCUACUUUUUUAUAAUAUUUCAAAUGAGGAUAUAAUUUAUAUAAUUAUUCUAAAUUGUUAUGCUCUGAAUAUAAUAAUUUACUGGUGAUAUCAAUAAUUUAAUUUUAUAUCCCUGAAAUAAAUCAGCAUAUAGAAAAGCUGAUUUUAGGGUAUGAAAUUCAAAUUUUGGACUUGAUUAACCCAUUUCUAAAUGGAUUUUUUGAAAAUGACAAAUUGAAAAUCAUAAUAUGAAACAUAAUAUAAAUGAUGUACUUUAUUGUAAUAAUUUAUAAACUAUGUGCCUAUGUGUUAAUUAACCCAUAAAUUGAGGCUCGCGGUAGCCGAGGGCUGGGCUGGGCUCUUCUCUUGGAUUGGUAAAAUCUGGCCUCAAUGCAAAAGUGACCUGAGUUUAGAGCCGGUCUUUCGACCCGACCAAAAGUUUUCAUAAAAUCUUUUUUAAUUAAAAUUACUUAAAUAACUAAAAUAAAUUUAUUUAUUUUUAUUUUAAAUGGAUAUUUAAUUAAAGACUUAAAUGAAAUUUAAAAAAAAAAAUUACACCCAUCCCAUUUCAUAACUUAUAUUUAUAUUUUAGAUUUUAAUUGAAUUUUUUUAGAGACAUUUAUAAGAGUUUAUGAUUAUUGAGAUAGAAACUGUAGAAUUAGAAGAAAAUAAUUAAAGAUUUUAAAAGUUUUUAUUUAUUUUAGAAAUAAAAUUUAAGAGAAAUAUUAUUUUUAAAAGUAAAAUUUUGUAGUAAGAUGAUUGAUUUUAAUAUAUAAUUAGUAUUAAAUAAAUUAAAUUGGGGAUAUUUUAAGAACUAAAAUUCAAAAGGGGUGUUAUAAAGAAUGUAGGUAAAUGAGAAUAAAACUCAUGUUUAUUUGAUAAAAUAUAAUUUGAGAAUAAAAAUAAAAUGUGUGGAUCCCACACAAUUUAGAAAUAAGGAUUGAGAAUCUCAUUCACAUGGGGGGUUGGGAAUGAGAAUGAAAUUCAUGUUUGCUUUUGUAUCCCUCUAAUUUUUUCAUAUUUCCCGAAUUACUAUUGUUCAAAUCAUAAUUAAUUUUAUUAUUUUAAAUGUCAUUAUUAUUAUUAUUAUUUAAUUAAUAUAAUUUUUAUAAUAAUAUUUAUAUAUGUAUCUAGUUAAUGAAAAUUACAUUAUUUAAUACUAUGGAUAUUUUGGUAAAUUGAUUCUCAUUCCCAUUUAUUUUGCUAAGUAAACACAUCAAUGAUAUUUUAACACAUUCUCAUUCCCAUUUAUUUUUGUCCAAGUAAACAUUGGAAUCUCAUUCCCAUUCCUCAUUCUCAUUUCAUCUCAUUCUCAUUCACAUUCUCAGUCCAUUCAUAUUCCAUGAAGUAAACGCACUAGUAAUGAUUGUAUGCUUAUUACUGCAUAUUUUGACAAAGGAGAUGCUAGUAUUAUUUGUUUUCUAGUAAUAUUACUUGGGAAUAAAUUUAGAAAUUGAAAAUAUCCAAAGUUUAGAGAAUAUCUUUUAACUAUAAUAAAUGUAAAAAUUGAAAUAUUAAAUUAUAUUAAAACGGGAUAUUAUCAUUUUUCCACCAAAGGUAUUCUGACACAUCAUGUCAGUACCACGGUUUGGUAAAAUUAUCAAUUUACCACCAAACGUUUAAACUGUUAGCAUUUUCCCACCAUUCCGUUAAAACUCAGUUAAUAUGUAACGGAAAAUUUCUAAAAUGUCAAUUUUACCCAUGGAGCAUAAAAAACCAUAUAAUUAACCUUUUAUGAAUUUUGUAAUUAAAUCAUCAUUUGUUGUUCUUCAUUCUUAAAGGACAAAAAUUACCCUUUAUAAAAUUUUGUAAAAUUGACCAUGAGGUGCUAGGUACUUCAUAAAUUGAUUUAAUUUUUAAUUUAUUUAUUAAAUUGACGAGCUAAAGCCAAUUUAUAUUUUUGAUGCUCCAGGGAUAAAAUUGAUCUUUUAGAAAUUUUAUGUUACAUAUUAACUGAGUUUUAACGGAAUGGUGGAAAAAUACUAACAGUUUAAAUAUUUGAUGAUAAAUUAAUAAUUUUACCAAAUCGUGGUACUGACAUAAUAUGUCAAAAUACCUUUAGUGGAAAAAUGAUAAUAUCCCUGUUAAAACCAACCAUCCUACCACAAACUUUAAAGAAAUAUUCACUUUCACACUAAUGUUGGAGAGAGAGUUUUUUAUUUUAUAGAGUGCUACUAGAUAACGAGAGAGUUGAGAGAAACGACAUCCCAAGCUGUCGUUUUGCUAUCUCUCUCUCUCUCUCGCCAUUUAUCAAUUAAAAAAUUGAUAAAAUAAUGAAAAAAAUCCAAAUUAACAAAAAAAUCCAAAUGAAAUCCAGAAAGCAGAUCACUCUCAGCUUAUCCUCACACCCUUCAAUUUGCAUUUUCCUUCAAUUUAGAAAUUCUCUCUCCCGAAGGACUCCUCUCCAACACCACCAUCGUCGACCACCGCAGCCACAUCUUAUCACCAACACCGCUGACGACGACAGUGACGAAUAGAGGCAAUAACGAAUAGGAGCUGUCGGUGUGGCACCACUGACGACGACAUGACCGCUGUUGUUUUGAGGGUGAAUUGGGUUGUUUAGUUUCGUUGUAUGUGGUUUGAUUUGGGUUCUAGGUGUGGUGACUUUGGUGGCUGUGAAAAUUGCAGAAUUGGGUGGUUUUUGUUUUGUUGUAUGUGGUUUAAGUUGUGUGAAAAUCCAACAGACUUAAUUCAGCUGGUAGAAUUGUUGUGAAUUUGAGAAAGCUAGUUUAAGUUGUGUGAAAAUUACUAAAUUUUGAUUAAGUGUGAUGUAGAUAACGAAAUGCACAAUUUCCAUUAAUUUUAUCAAAUUUUUAAACGAUAAAUGGCGAGGAGAGAGAGCAAAACGGCAACUUGGGAUGUCGUUUCUCCCCAUUUUCUCGACAUUUAUCAUUUUCCUAUUUUAUAUAUAUUGGGUGCGUGAUAAAGUAGGGAUGGCUAGGAGUGUAUGUGUGAGUAUAUAUAUAUAGUUUUUUUGUCUGGAAUCAUAAAGUGCAGUAAAUGUUAGGGAAAAUUUUAAAACUGUGGAGUUUUAAAGACUUAAAAUUUAAAACGUUUAAACCACACGGUUUAUGUGUUUUUUCAUACGUUUUCACACUUUAAAAUUUCGGAUUAGAAUAUUUUUUUUUCUCUCCCUCUCUCUUUAUAUAUAUGUAUGUAUGUAUGUAUGUAUGUAUGUAUGUAUGUAUGUAUGUAUAUAAAUUCAUAAAUGAAAAUAAAAGUGUUAAAAUGGGACUGCAUUUGGGAUGAUGCGUGGGGUCAGAAAGAAUUACGCUCCAUGAAGUCUCUUUGAAAGUGAACAUGUGAAAUGCCUGGUCAGUGAAAGCCCAUAAAAGAAGCCUAGAUUUUUAGUAACCGAAACAAGUGACACUUGGAUGAACCACCGAACAACAAAUGCCUACAUAUAUUGCACAAUAUAUUCUUAUGGUCAGUGAAUGUGAGGCUCCUUGAAUCCUCAUUUCCUUGUUUCAUGUGCUCGCUCGUUGCUGAUGGAAUUCUGUCCAAAGAAACAAGCACCCGGCCGCUAUUUGAUGCAUGCUUGCGUACUUACCCUUAUAAUAAUUAUUCACCUUAACCUUUUAUCUGGAUAAUAUAAAUGAAUGGAUGGCUGGAUCAUAUCGAUUGGAAAUGUACGAACAAUUUAUAUAUAUAUAUAUACACACAUACACAGAGAGAGAGAGAGAGAGAGAGAGAGAAUAAAGGCACAAUUCGUUGUCGCGGUUUGAUCAGUAAAGCUGGAAUCAUAAAUCUUUAUUUUGUGAAAAGAGAGAUAAUACCGAUGGAGCCAACUCCCAAGUGUAUGAUUCUUUAAAAAGCAAGAUUGAUAUAAGGCUGACCAGAAUGUAGAUAAAGGCAAGUCCUGCUAUAUAUAUAUAUAUCACAAGCCGCCCCUGCAGUGGCAAACUGGCAACAACGCCCCUUGGGCACCGCAAAUUCAUAAAGCAGCUAGUAGUACGUUGAUCGUGAUCCAUCAGGAUCAGGGCUUUUUCUGCCUUUGCUUUCUCCCUACCAAUUUGAUCCAGUGAUAAUAUUUCAGCUAUAGUAACUGUCUCUUAUCUCUAGCUUUAGGGUAGCCUAUUUGUCAAUGCACGGCGUCCUACAGGUGCCAAUGCCAAUGUCAGUGUCGUGCAUAUAUACAAUCUUGAUCUCUUUUCUUUCUCUUUCUCGAUAGCUUGUACGUUGCUUUAUUCACUUGAGCUAUCUUCAAAUUAACCUUUAUAGUUAAAGCUUGUAUUUCAUGGUGAAAAAUAAAAUCCGUCUCGAAUUAUCCAAAAUUGUUACUUGCUAGGAUAUAAUCAACUUUAUAAAGUUCAGAACGUGAAUUUUGUCUACAUAUAUAUGGUGGUGUAAAAUCUCCCUUUUCUUUUUCUUUAUUGAUUCUGGGACAAAUUAAUCCCACUUUUAAGGCUUGUGUUUGUUUUAUAUGCUUUGCUUAAUACCUAAGGCCUAGGGGUUAAUUAUUCACUCAUGUCAAUUUAAUUUAUGUGUCUUUUUUGUUUUAUAUGCUCUCUUAAACCUACGAGUUACGAGUCAUCCAAAAAAUAAAAUUAAAUUGAGAUUUGCAUACCUCUCAUCUGUUAGAUUUUUAUUGUGCAUGUAUUUAUUUUGAUACAAUUAAUAAUGAAGAAAAACCUGUAGUAAAAUUUUUAACAAAGAGUAUCUAUACAAUAUAUAACGCAUAAAACUCUUUAUAAACAAUAACUAUCAUCAAACAUCUAAGUCUCACUUAUCAAGUAUGUUUGAAUGAAUACGAUGGGUUUAUUGUUUAAAGUUUUUUUUUUUAAUUGUUUAAAGUUAAAACGUUAUUCUUGAGAUGAUACACUAUUAGCUCAUAAUGGAUUAUUAAAUAAGUCAGUGUUAGGGUUAUUCAAAUGUUGCUUAUAAAGUAUAAUGAAUGGAUCUCCAAAGGAGCUUUAUAAGAUGAUUAUCUUAAUUCACUGGAAAGAGAGGGAUGGUAUAAGCAAAUCAAUCAAAACGGAAGUGGGCUGCUCUUUUUUUUAUUAUUUUUUCUUUUAUUUGGUUUGUUAAAUACAAUUAAAUCCCGACAAACAUCAAGCAUUCAACUAAUCAACAAAUCAUUGUCCGGUAAUAAAAUAUUCAAAUUCGACAAAAUUUGCUUUAGUUGACUUUUUAAGAUCACUGGCUGCUAGUACUUUAACUAGUUCAUCAUCAUUAAAAGUUAAAAUUAUAUUAUAUUUGAUAGAGCGCAAAGCUUAUGUUACAUUUGCUGUAACAAACAGUCAGUAUAUUUGGGUGGUUGGAUUUUAAUAUUUUUCAAUCCAAUGAAUGAAAAUAACUUUAACCUAAAACGAGGUACGGGUGUAAUAGCUUUUUACAAUAUUUUUUUAUUUUGAAUCACAUAUUUGUUUAUUUUUUCAAGUAAGUCCUCAUUAAUUUUGUAUAACUAAAUGACUUUGCUAACCAUCUCUUCUACAUUUAUUCUUAAAAUUUUUUAAAGUUUUUACUAUAUUUUUAUAAAGAUCUAAAUAAUUAUCAUAUUCAUAAAUAUUUACAAAUUUUGAAUAUAUAUUUUUAUCUGUAUUUAUAAUUUCUUAUCUCUCCUAAGAAUAAACUAGAUUAUAUGUAUGUAUGUAUGUAUAUAAAAUUUAUAUUUAGCAUCUUGGAUUAUAAGAGAUAUUAUAUGUCAUAAAUAUGUUAUGGCUCUAAUAAAUUACUAGAAAGAUAUUACAAUGAAUAAAUCAUUAGAAUCUCUAAUAAUUUUACAAAAUAUAUAAAUUAUUGAGUUACCACAUUCUAACUAUAUAAAUGAUAUAGAAAAAGUAAACAAAAUAUUAGAAAUUAAUAAUUUUAAUGAAGAAAACAUCAAACAAAUUAAAAAGUUAGGAGAUCAAAUGAGUAAAAAAUUUAAUAAGGUUAAACAAUUAAUAAAAAACUUCACAUUGAAGAUAAUGAUAUAUUAAAGUAAGAAAUUGUUAAUAUAAUAAAUAAAAAAUUAAUAAAUAUAAGAUUAAACAAGUUAGAGAUUCAAUUAGAUAAAAUAAAAACUUGGUACUGAAUUUGCUAUAAAUAUAAAUAAAAAACUUAAACAAAUUGAAGUACUAUUGCAGUGUGGUUUGGGGUUUAAAAUAAAACUUUAAAAUUUAUUGACUUUUUUAUAAUUAUUAACUUUUUUGAGGAUUAAAAAAUUUAUAGCUGUAACUUACAACUGAUGUAACAUAAGCUCUGCCUUCUAAAGAGGAAAAGAAUAAAAAUAAAAAAGACAAAGCAUUAAAGAGGUAUUCCUUUAGUCCUUUCUCUAUAAUUAUGAUCAUUUGAGUAAUAUAUUUUAAGACCAAAUUAAAGGGGGUGUAUGUAUAUACCAAAUGGUUGUGGCGGCUCAGUUGGUAAUGUAGGCUGGGUUUGUGCGAAGAGUUCUCGGGUUCAAUUUAUACUAAAUACAUCAUUUAGGAGGGAUAAGAAGUUUUAACUGUGACUAUACCCCGAAUUCGAAUUAAUCAGGGUCCAAUGUGAUCACCGAAAACCGGAUGGUUUAAAAAAAAAAUGGAUGUAUGUAUUAUAUUCACCUAUUUAAUAUCUUAGAGUAAAAAUUUAGUAAAUAAUUUGAAUACAAUAAAAAAAAAACACACAUGUAAAGUUCAAUGCAAUUAGACCCUUAAUUUAAUAAGUAAAAAUUUGAAAUGCCGACAUGCUUUUGACAUAUUGAAAGAACAUGUGUGUAUUUCAAUCAGAAAAAAUUAUGCUGUAAUCAUUUAUAUAUUACCCUCAAUAGUUAUUUUUAGUAAUUGGUUUUAUUGAUAGACCGUUGUAUUUUGUACUUUUUUUUUCUUCCCACUAGUUGUUAAUUGUAUUUUUUUUUGUUUUUUAAUAAUAAUAUAAGUAAAAAUGGCAUAGCUGACUAGACAGCCAUUUGUAUCUUCUGGUUUAUAUAUUGAUAUGUCCAUCCACGUACAUAAAAUACAUAAUAUAAACACUUUUUAAGCAUGCAAGACCCACGUACUUCAUGAUUUUAUAUAUUUAAAGUUUCAUGCAAUAAAAGGUUCACUAUAAUCCCAUCUAAUGACAUAAACGGCAUCUCAUUUCUCCUGUAAUUUGGUUUAAAAAAGACAAUUAAUUAGAGUUACAAUUUCACUAGGACUAUCCAAGGUUUCGCCAAGAUUUGGAAAAUCUUAAAGCUAUGCAUGUAUGAGCCAAAAUUAAGAUAAUAUAUUUUUGUAAUAAUUUUUUUUCUGUAAAAUCUUUAAGUAAUUAAACAAAAGAAUAUCCAACGUUUCUACCCUACCAAUGAAGAUCCACCUCUCUCUUUCUCCAUUGGAUUUUAGAAUUUAGAGUUUUAAUUAUUAUUGAUUAAUUUUCAAUAUUAUUAUUUGUAGCUUUCUCUUUAUUAGUUGACCCACCACUUACAUUAAAGAAAGACUCAAGUCAUAAGUAAACACACAGACGCCCACCAAAUUAACUUGUUCUUACUUAAAAAAGGUAUCAUGGAGACAAGCUUAAUCAAAAUCCACACAUUAAUGCCUUGUUACAUCACCAUUAGUGUAGCUACAAAUAAAUUAAAUUUCAAUUUUUUAAGUAAUGGACAACAAACAAUGUGCUUCAUUUUGUUUCGUAUGCGGACAAAAUUUGUUGAUGGAUGAUGAAAGAUUAAUAAAUUACAUUAGCUUGGUCCUCUAAUUAUGUAUUAAAUUAUUCUAAUUAGAAAUUUUCUUUAUAUUGAAAACAAGGACGUAGCACGUGGCACUUAGUGCGAAAUGUCAAUUUAAGAUUAAUUAUCAUUUUCAUUUAGUAGAAACAAUGGAUAUAAUAAACAAAAGCUUUUUUUUCCCCCCAAACCAAAAGUUGCCUAAAUUAAAUAUAUCUUCAGUACAUUCUUCUAGACAAAAAUUUGAAUGAAAUCAUCAAGCUAAAAUAAAAAAUUACACAGAAAAUUAGAAAACUGAUAACGGGUCCAUGUUAAGAUGAUCUUACAAUUGAGAACUAUAAUUCAAUUAUAUAAUUUUAAGAUGAUUUUAUGAUAAUUUAUUAGGGAUACAUGUACGUUAUCUAGAGGUGACAAUUUGGGUCAAAAUUAGUUUAUUCGAUUUGAUUCGAUGUGAAUUAAAUGGAUUUAUGUUUGAAAAAAAAUUGAUUCUUUUAAUAAAUGGGAGAAUUCAAUUUGAUCCGCUAACUAAACAAAUUGAAUCCAGAUUUGAGGACAUUGAUUCAUUUAUUUGUUUUGGAUUUGUUUAAUAAAUGAGUUAUAAACGAAUCAAAUAUGAUUCAUUCGUUUGAAGUUCAUAAAUUUUUUGUUUAAUUAAAUUACUUAUUUAUCUUUAAAUAUGUACAGAAAUUUUUAAAGUUUGAAGGCUAAUAUUGUAAUUAUAAAUGAUAAUAAAUUUGUAUUUUAUAGGAUUUUAAAUUUGUGGUCUUUUUAUAUUUUUUUUGCUUAAUAUUAGUUUACUAAUUAUAUUUUUGUGAACAAAUUCAUAUUCGAUUUGAUUCAUUAUGGAUUUGUUAUAGGAUAAAUGAAUAGUAAAUGAAUCAAACAGAAUAUUUGUUUAAUAAACGAAUCGAAUUCGAAUCAACAGAGUUUUGACACAAUUCAUUUAUAAUUCGAUUUGAAUUCAAUUCGUUUGUUCAUUUUGCUGCUCCUAACAUUAUCUGUUUAAGCUUUAGCUUCGUUUCGAACCUUCGGUCUCUUAUAUAUAUAUAUAAGAAUUUUGACGCCAUUAUCUUAUAAAUUAAAACUACAUAUAUAAAAACUAGUCAUAGAAAUUUGUCCAUAGAAAAUUAUUUGGAACUUCUAUAAUAAGAGAAAGAACUUAAAAGGGUAUAUUAUGCAAUAUAUUUAGUAUAAUUGAGUUUGUGCACGUAAUUUUUAUUUUUUAGAGUACAUGUAAUUUAAUUCAUUUAGGAUUAGAAUUCUCUCCUAUUAUUUUUCUCUCAUUGUCUCAUUUAGUCUUCUAAAUCUAGUGGAAAAGUUGAAUUACUUAUAAAUAAAGCGAAAAAAACUUGGCUUAAUUGUCAAUAUCAAAAUUUAAAAUUUAAUCUUGAGUUCUUGACCAUUUAUUUCACUGGUUAGGAGAGAUUAUGAGAAGGAAAAAAAAAAAGAGAGAAAAUCUUUUUUCCAAUUAAUUUACUCUCCUCUCUCACUUUUAAUUCUUUUACCAUGUUUUCUUGUAGUAAUUAGUUUGAUUCAAAUUCCUAUAAAUGUUUUAUAUUUUCAUUUUCCUACAAAAAUUAAUGAUUUUCGACAUAAAUGACAAAACUUUGGAAAAUAAAAAGACACCAGUGCAGAUGUUUCAUUACAGGCAUGAAUCAUGAUGCACUGUCAUACAAUUCUUUAAUAGUAAAGUUUAUCAAAUUAAUGCAGACUUUGUAGAAAUAUGUUGUCUAGCGGCUCACGUUAUGGUUAAGUUUGCUUUCAAAACUAUUGACUUCGUGGUCCGGUUGGACGAUAUGCUUUUCUAAAUAAAUUGUGUGAUUCUUAAUUUGUCAUCCUAGGUUUAACAUAUGAAAUUAUUUUGAUUUAUAUAUUAAGCAAAAUGGAUACCUAGUGUCAGAAUAAUUUUAUUUUUCUUUCCUCCCUUCAUAUUCUCACCAAAAAUAAAAUAAAUAAAUGAUAAUAUAUAAUAAAUUAACUUGAGUUGGUGAGCAGUCGUAUGGUCACCUUCAAUGGAUCUAUAUUUAUUCAGAAACCCUUCCAGUUUAUUCGCUGUAUUUAUUAAUCAACUUAUAUCUAGUUUACUAAUGAUAAUGAUGUUGAUAACAUGAAUGGGCUAUGAUUUCAAACAGUCAUAUCCCUUAUCCCUUCGAAUUAUCAUAUCACGCACUCUCUAUAGUUAAUUCAAAGAAGAUUAGUGGGUGAGUGGUUUUUAAUUAAAAUUUUAAGAUUGACACUUCUGUAUUCGAAUAACGUAUCAAGUAUUAAAAAAUUAAUUUGAGCUGCUUUGCACGUACCUUCAAUUUAAGUUUGACAAGAAUCAUAUAUAGAACUAAGAAAAGGAUAACAUUAAUAUUAUAACGUCGAUAUAUAUCUAAUUUACAUAUCCAGUCAUCAAAACCAAAAUCAAAAGCACCAUCACAUAUGAUAUGAUAUAAUAUAUUAUACAUAAUCAAACUGAUGCAUCAGCUGCUGCUGUUGUGACAUUAAUCUGAACCAUCUCUUUCUGACUCUCCACUUUCUCUGCUUCUCCGAAUUUCUCUUUCUCUUGCAAUUUCAAUUUCACAUACAUGCCAUACACAUAAGAGCAAAAGCCCCAAGCACAAAGCACAGUCGAAACAGCCUUAACGCCGCCAAAACUGUCGCCGUAAACCACGACCCCGGCGAUAACGUUCAUGGCCAAAAUCGCAGUCAUGCUGAUCCCUCCCGUCAACGACGACGUCAGGAACACCAUCCCCGCAGUACCCAUGAAGCAAAGCUGCCAAGUCACCACAUUGCCGAUAAUCGUCAGGCAGUAAACCACCGGCCCUUUGUCGUAAACCGUCUGUGCCUCUCUCUUCAUCUCCGGAUACCCGCCGUCCGACGCCAUCCCGACGGUGGCCAACGCCGUGGCGGCAAUCUCCAUUACCAGCUGCAUUUCCAUCACCAUUGAGUAGCAGUAAACUUUCUUGUAAAUCAUCUCCAUGACUGGCAAAUACAAAGCAAAUAACAAGCCAGCACCAACAGUGCAAAAAAACCCUAUGAAAUAUUUCGAUUUGGGCAAGUCAGGAGACUUGUCAUGGCCCGAGCCUAGGGCUAAGAGCACUGAGCUUAGGGUUAAAAGAAUAACACAGUUGAGAUUUGAGAAGGUGAUUUUUUGCUUUACUAUUAUGACUGAGAAAACGAGGUUGAAUAGGAGCUGAGAUGAUAAGAGGAGGGCUGAAGUUGAGACCGGCAAAUAUGAGUUACCCCAAGAGAAGAGAAGAUUGUUUAAGCCUAAGAGGAGGCCUACCAAGAUUGACAAGGUGAGGACCUUGGUAGUGAAGUGUGAGAAUGGACGUCGCUCGGUGCACUUGAAGAGGUAAUAAGGGAGGAAGAUUGGUGGGAGGAGUAGAGGAAAGCCAGCGCAUUGAACCCAAGUGGAGACCCAACGGCUUGAGCCUUUGUGAUUGAAGUAGUACUUUGAGAGCAAGCUUGCUGAGACUGAGCCUACAAAGAGGCAGAGAUAGUUGGUGACCAAGAGAACGAGAUAGCUCUUGCUUGUCUUGGCCUUUUGGUCCUCUACUCCUUGUCCAUGCAACUGGGUUCUUGUUGGUGGUGUUGUUGCUGUUGCGGUCUUGUUCAUCUCUAUGAAUGGGAGAGGAGGGAGAAGAGGAAUUUUGCACUUGUGUUUCGGUUGUGGUUGUGGGGCUUGUUUUUGUACUAAGUGGUUUCACUAAUAUAAAGGGAUCAGUGAAAUUGAUGAAGCUGGAUGAUGAUGAUGAUGAUGUGCUUUUGCAUAUAUUUGCUUUUCUUUUCUUUUCAAGAUUUUGUUGUAAUUAAUAAUUAAUUAGCAACCUUAUUUAAGCCAAAAGGUGGGGUUAUUAUAUGUUAAAAUCGUGGGGUCUCGAUGGACCUUUCGGCCGAUAAGGGAGAGGUUUGUUUGAGUUUAGUGAUGGUCAUUUCGGUUGGUUGGCGGCUUGAUUUAGGCUUUAGCCAAAUAUCCAAUCAUUAUCAAUGAGUUUGAUUUUCUAAGAUAAGCUUUUUUCUUUAAUUGCAUCCCCAUCCAUCAUCUCAUUUAAGGAAAAUUAAAAGAGAGAGGGAGAUUAUUUUAGUGGAAUCGACAUUGCACAUAAAUAUUGGAUGGAUGAUGGACACUAGGUGCUUAUAAUCUAUGUAACAAGGAAAAUCUAUAAGUACAGAUUAGAGAAAAGAUAAUAUGAAGUUUGAAUAUGUAUAUACUGACAAGAUUGAUGGGUACAUUGUGGAUGGUGGGCAUGAUUAUAAGAUGGAAGAUGACAUGAUAUAUUCGUGAAUUUAGUAGAGUGCUUAAUGGAGAGAGAGAAAAGGAGAAGAAUAAGUGGAAACGUAGACAAAUGGCAGUUGUUAGAAAAUGGCAACUACAGAUGUAGAGAGAGUUGUGAAAUUGAAACGGUUACUUUGACUGUUUCUGUUUCUCUUUCUUUUGCUUUAUCUUCUUCUUCUUCAUAAAUUUAUAUAUACAACACAAAGUUAAUGAAUGAUGCAUGAAUCAUGAUGCAUUGUCACGGCAGCGGCAUUGACAAAUGCCGAGCGUUUCGGUUUUUAGUUAAGCGGGUCUCUCGCAAGUGUCCCUCCUUUUUUUAUUUCUAGCAUGCGUUGCCAGCUUUGCCCGCCGUGGUUCAUUUUAAGGGUGUUCGUGGAUCGGAUUUUACUGAUUGGAUAUCAAUUCAUAUCCGAUCUACGAUUUUACGGAUUAUAAAUUUUCAAUCCAAUCCAAUCCACGGAUCGGUGAAAUGCAAUUCAAAUCUAAUCCAUACGUCUGUGGAUCGGAUGCGGAUUCGACCCAAUCCAUAUCCAAUUCGCCAUUUUACGGAUUAAUUUGCGAACUGAAAAUUUUUAAUUUUGUCCAAUGCACGAACUAACUAAAUAAAUAAAAUUAAUUAAAAAUAAUUUUACUACCGAUCAAAUUUAAAAUUAAAUAAGAUUUAAAUAAAUUAAUUGUUUAAAUAAAGCUAGAAAAUACAUUUAAAGUUUCAAAAUAUAAUGCACCAAAAAGACAAAAAUCUCAUUCAUUUAGACCAAUAUAUAGAAAUUAACUAUUUUGGAAGCUAUAUUUUUUUAUUUUAUAUUAUUAUCAGAUAAGAUAUAAUAUAGUGUUAUUGUAACUAUAUUUUAACUUAUUUAUUUACUAGUAAGUACUAAUGUCAUAUUUACAAGUUUUAUUUUUUAAUUAAAUAAUUUUUUUUACGGAUUCACGGAUUUUUAUGGAUUUACAGAUGUAAAUCCAAAUCCAAUCCACCGAUUGCGGAUUAUUAAAUUUUCAAUCCAAUCCAAUCCAUCAAUCCACGAAUCGGAUUUCUACGAAUCAGACGGAUUGAACGGAUCGCAUUGGAUUCUGAACACCCCUAGUUCAUUUUACUUAACACACUCAUUGUUUUUGUUUUUAUUUUCUUUUUCUUGCUUCAUUUUUUUUUUCAAAACUAUUUUUCUUUUUCGAUGAUUGUUUUCUAACACAUGUAUAUUUAGAAAUAAUGUAUGCCCAAAACAGGUUUGCUUUUAUGAUAUGUUUGGUGUGACUUUCAAAAAUAUUAUUUUUGAACUAAUUAAAAAUUAUGAAAAUGGUUUUUUCUUUUCCCUUUUAUUAUGUAACAAAUUCCUCUUUGAUUCGUUUGUUGUGCACUAUUUAAAACAAUGUUUUAGGGUGUGUUUGAAAAUAAAGUGCUGUAACUUUUAAACUGCUAUGGAGUAAAAGUUAUAACUGUGGAGUAUAAGUUGAAAAAAAAAAUUUACUAAGUUGUCAAAGCCCAGUUACAAGUGUUACCAAACACCUUAGUAGCUGGCUUUGACAGCUCAGUUAUCUCACCACACUCCCAAACGAACUCUUAGACCAAUUAAGAGAGAAUUGAUGAUUUAGAGUUGGUAGGGAGAAUAAUUCUAAAAUUAGUAACACAACCAAUAUUAGAUAAUAUCUGCCAAGAUUUUGCUCAUAAAUAUUAAUGCAUCUAGCUGGGCAAGUCUAGCCUUAGGCUGGAUUACCAUUUAAGAUUUUGAACAAGUGAAUUAAAUUCAUGAUUUGAAUCAGAUUAUGGUGGUUGUAUUUUCUAUUUUUACACGUAAUAAUGCCCAUAUUGAUAUUUGUAAUAAUGAAUGGUUAUUUUUUUUAAUCUAUAUAUUGAUAUUUAUCUAUAGUAGACAAAUUAAUGGGACAACCCAACCAUUUAUUUAAUAUGCUCAGUCAAUUAUUAUGGGUAAAAUUGGCAAAGUCUUGACCUCUACUCACUUUGUAUAUACACAACAGAUUAAAAUGGCACUCAGAAUUUAUUAUUCAUGUGUUUGGUUUUAAAAAUAAUUUGUUUUGCCCAAAAAACAAAUGUAUUGAAUCGGCAAAAAUGGAUAAUUUACCCCAUUUUGAUCCAAAUUGUUGGACCUUAUUGUUUUUUAAAUUAAAAAAACUAAAGUGUAAUUUUUCAUGUACAAGAUUUUAAAAAGAAAAAGGAUAUGUACAGUCAAAUUUUAAAUAAAAACAAAGGGUUUUGUUUAAUAUUGAGGUGCUGUAGUUUUUUAGGAAUAACUACUGUAAAAAAAAAUUAUAAUUAUGAAAUAAAAAUUAAUAAUAUAUAGUAAAUAUAAUUUUUAAAUAAUAAAUUUAACAAAAUUAAUAAAAAAAUAAUAGAUCGUUCAUCAUACAAAUAUAAAAUUAAUUAAUUUAGCUUCCAAAUUAUAAUAGUUAGUCUUUACCAAACACUUUAAUAUUAUAUUGUUACCCUACAGUUGUUCAAACUCAAUUUCAAAUGCAACCUUAAUUUAGGAGAUCAAAGAAAACUUCAUUUGCACAAAUUUUGUUGAUAUUUUAUAUAAUCCAAGAGAGUGUAAUGUUGUAGCUCAUUCACUAACUAAGAUAGCACUUGAUAGACAAGGUACAAACAUUUGGCGGGACUCAUUUUCAGCUGAGAUUAUGUCAAUAUUCGCAUAGUUGAAAUGUUGAAUGAAUGAAAAUGGUACUUUUCAUUAAAAAGAAAAAAAAAAGUGAAAAUUAUCCUUUUAUCCAAAUAUAGCAUUACAUACAAUACACGUACACAUGCAUACACAGUGGUCUGCAUUAAGCUUUGCAAUUUGCGUACAUCUGUGUGUUUUCACUUAUUAAUUUUACAGAAUUGAGCCAUUGGGCCUUGAAACUUAGGUCUGGGUUUGAAUAAUGAGGCCAUAUUUGUACACACAUGGGCCAAAUCCAUCACAAGUUUAUCUUAUGCACUGCCAAUUAGUUUUAUCUCGUAGGAACAUCGGGUAUCGUCAACAAUUUGUACCAUUAUAUUUUCUAAAAAAUCUUCUUUUUUUCGAUGCUUAUCCUAGGGUCAUGCAUGACUUAUAGGCGAUAGUAUGCAAUAUAUAUAACCCUAUGUAUUUGUGAGAGAGAUUUGUAUAGGAUAGUCCUAUCGUCUUGUAAAAUUUGAGGUGUUAAGGAUCAGUCAAUGAGAUUCAAUUAAUUGGUAAAAUAGUCUUCUUCUUCUUCUUAUUAUUUUAUAUUCAAUUUUAAGAGAAUCUCAUUUAGAAUCUCACCACGAGGCUCAUUAUUUUACUAAAUAAUUGAAUCUAAGUGGUUGAUCUUCCCACCUCAGCGAGUUAAGAUUUUAGAACUAGCAUGUAAAAAUUUUUCUCCCUAUUUGUUGGUGUCAACUCAUUUAACUCUUCAAUUUUUUUUUCACUGAUAAAAGAGAUAUGAGAUUCAACCUUUAAUUUUUCUUUAUUUAUUUGGAAGUAAACUGUAAAUUAAUUUUUUGGCCUCUCCUACCAUUUUGAUCUUCAAUAUUAUGAAAAAAAAAAAGAGAACUUAGUUUUCAAUAUUUACAUACUUUUUUAAAAAAGUUGUUGUUAUUAUUAUUAUUUUUGAUGACACCAUCGAAGAAAGCCCAAAUCUAUAUUGAUUUUUGGAUACCUAAAAGCUCAACAUGCGAUGAGGGGAAAUUAUGUGAUUACGCAAGAGAGUCCGUCAUUGAAACUAAUCUUAAAUGGCAUAAUAUUAGGUUGAAAAUGUGAAAUUAGGUCAAAUUUUUUAAUUAAAACAUUUAUUAUUAUUUUUUUAAUAUUUUUGCCUAAAAAAAACUUUAAAAAUAAAAUUGCAAAACUGAAACUUGCGAAGCAAAUGACGAUCAAGCCCAUUACCCGUAACCCAAAAGGCCCUAACGGUUCCUUUUUCUUUUUCUUUUUUGUCUUGGCGGGAAAGCCUUGACGAUUUUCCCGCCACGGAGAGACCGACAAGCACAAACAAGACGAAGUGUUUACAGUUGGAAAUUAGGGUUCCAAAUCGCGUGACGACUGCAGCUUCCGAAACAUCGUACAACAAAGAAAAAAUGGAGGCGUUUGGUGGAAUCUUGGUUGACGAAAAAGCAGUGAGAGUUGAAAAUAUUUUCUUGGAAUUUCUAAAGAGGUAGGCUUCCCUAAAUCCCUAACCAUUUUUUUCAUUUAAAAUUGUAGUUUUUGUUAAAUGGGUGUUGAUUUUCGCUCCAAACGAUGAUCUGGGCAGUUUUAGAUUAGAUGGAAACAUGGGCGGAGAGUCGUGUUACGAGGCCGAGAUCGAGGCCAUGAGAGCCAACGAAUCCAACACCAUGUUCAUCGAUUUCUCUCACGUUAUGCGAUACAAUGACCUUCUUCAAAAAGCCAUUGCCGAUGAGUAUUUAAGAUUUGAACCGUAUUUGAAGAAUGCUUGCAAGAGAUUUGUGAUGGAGCAAAACCCCAAUUUCAUUUCUGAUGAUAAUCCUAACAAGGAUAUCAAUGUUGCUUUCUUCAACAUCCCUUUCUCUAAGAGGUAAUUUUUAAUGCUCAUUAUUUAAUCGUUUCAAUUGUUCUUAAUUCAGGCAUUGGUAAUCAAAUUUACACACUAAAUAUCUGAUGAUUAUGAAAAAUUUCAUUAGUUAUGAAUUGUUUGUAUGUGUGUGUAAUGCUUGAGCACAGAUUGAGAGAGUUGACCACGGCAGAAAUUGGGAGACUGGUGUCAGUUACAGGAGUGGUGACUCGAACAAGUGAAGUUCGACCUGAGCUACUUCAAGGGACCUUUAAGUGCUUGGAAUGUGGGGGAGUCAUCAAGAAUGUUGAGCAGCAAUUCAAAUAUACUGAGGUUAACCUGCUUGAGUAUUUUUACAUGUUUAUGUGGGUGAAUUUUCACUGCCUGGCAAUAAUCGAUGUGUUGUUGCAUUUCUUUGGUUUCAGCCCACAAUUUGUGCGAAUGCAACAUGUUCCAAUAGGACAAAUUGGGCAUUGCUACGCCAAGAUAGCAAGUUUGCUGACUGGCAGAGGGUGAGAAUGCAGGAGACUUCCAAAGAGAUUCCAGCUGGAUCCUUGCCCAGGUCAUUGGAUGUUAUUCUCCGCCAUGAUAUUGUCGAACAAGCCAGAGCUGGAGACACGUAAGAUCCCCAUUAAGUCAAUAUGUAUCAUUUUCUUUUUCCUAUAGAUGUUAAUGUUAGUUACUUGUUCUCGCUUAGAAAAUAUCAUAAGAUAUUUGCAAGUCAUUAAUAUCUCCAAUCUUUAUUCACCAACAGGGUCAUUUUCACUGGUACUGUGGUUGUCAUACCUGACAUAUUGGCAAUGGGCUCUCCUGGGGAGAGAGCAGAAUGUCGCCGAGAAGCUUCUCAGCGCAAGUCCUCUGCCGUUGGACAUGAUGGUGUGAGAGGUCUUCGAGCAUUGGGAGUGAGAGACCUUUCCUACCGGCUUGCCUUCAUUGCCAAUUCAGUUCAGGUUGGUGAUACAGUGGCUUAUAAUUCAAGUUGGAUUAUGUGACGAGUUUGUUCACGCAGUUCAUGUUUCAUGCUUGCUUGUUUCUUUAGAUUGCUGAUGGUAGAAGAGAUACCGACAUAAGAAAUAGGAAGAAGGAUGCCGAUGAAGAGGACCAACAUCAGUUCACGGUGGGUUCAACAUGCAGUAUUUCUAGUUUCUUUAGUAUAGUCCCAUUUUCUAGAGAUUUGUUUGAUUAUCAAUCACAGCUACUUCAUGCUACUUCAAAUCUCUAUUUAUAAUGUCUUUCUGUACUUUACUGAAAAAAAAAAAAUUGUCAAUUUCUUUACUUUGGGCUUAUUUAACAUUAUUUCCUUCUAACAAUUCCAUUCAACCAAGUCUGGAGGGAAUUUGAUUUACAUAACUAAAUUUUGGAACUGCUUAAAGUAAAGAUAUAAUUUGCAGAUAGGAAGUUACUAAUGAGUUCGGAAUGUGUACCACAGAUGGUGUUAAUGAUUUCAGGAUUCUCAAUAUUGAAUUUUGAUUUUUAUUGUGAACCUAGAAACUAUAUCAAAUUCUAGAACUCUACUCACUUAUUUUCAACUGACAGACAGAAGAGAUAGACGAAAUCCAAAGAAUGAGAAAUGCCCCUGAUUUCUUCAAUAAGAUAGUUGAUAGCAUUGGCCCAACUGUUUUUGGUCAUCAAGAUAUAAAGCGAGCAAUCCUGCUCAUGCUCUUGGGUGGUGUUCACAAGCUUACUCAUGAAGGCAUCAACCUGAGAGGAGAUAUUAAUGUUUGUAUAAUUGGAGAUCCCAGCUGUGCCAAAUCUCAGUUCCUUAAGUAUGUCAUUUUAUUUGUUCCUUGGGUUUUUGGUUUCUAAUACAGCAAUUCCUGGUGUUUAUACUGCUUGAAAAACUUAAAUAGAUGGUCAAUGCACUUGCAGAUAUGCUGCUGGUAUUGUUCCUAGAUCUGUCUACACAUCUGGCAAGUCCUCCUCUGCGGCGGGCUUGACUGCAAGUGUUGCCAAAGAACCAGAAACUGGGGAAUUCUGUAUCGAGGUAGCAUUCAAUUCUAUUGCUUUUUGUUAGGUUGAGUUAUGAUAUGUCCUUGGAGACCGGAAAUAAUUGACUUCUGAUUAGCCCUAAUCUUCUGAUGUGUGUUUUCCCAUCAUAUUCUUUUAAGUUCCUUAUUAACCACGUACCUCUGAGUAUACAAUUUCUGCUUGUUCAGGUUCAGUGACAAACGUGUGUUGUUUAUUUCCAGGCAGGUGCACUGAUGCUUGCUGACAAUGGUAUUUGUUGCAUUGAUGAAUUUGACAAGAUGGACAUCAGGGAUCAGGUAAUUUUUAUACUGUUCUAUUUGGAGGAUCUUAUUUGCCAUGCAAUGCUGAUACUUGAUUUCCAACUGCUUAUGAAGGUUGCAAUUCAUGAAGCCAUGGAACAGCAGACAAUAAGCAUUACAAAAGCAGGUAUACAAGCAACACUGAAUGCCCGAACAUCAAUUCUAGCUGCUGCUAAUCCUGCAGGGGGGCGCUAUGAUAAGUCGAAACCACUGAAGGUGAGAAUCUUUGGAAUAUGGUACCAUUGUAACUGAUUUCCUAGGCAUUUGUGCUACAAUUUUUCAUGUCCUCAUUGUGAACUGAUCACUUUGGAUUUAUCUUUCUUCCCCAGUACAAUGUUGCGCUGCCUCCUGCUAUUCUUUCCAGGUUUGAUCUGGUAUAUGUAAUGAUCGAUGAUCCAGAUGAUCAAACUGAUUACCAUAUUGCUCACCACAUUGUGAGAGUGCAUCAGAAGCAUGAAGAUGCUCUAGCUCCAGCAUUCACAACUGCACAGCUGAAGCGUUACAUUGCAUAUGCUAAAACUUUAAAACCAAAGGUUGGCUGUUUAAUCUUUCUAUGAUCAUGAUGUGGUUUUUGACUUGAAAAUGAGAUUUUAUGUUAUUGUACUGCCUAUUUUUAACAUCGAUUCUAUAAUUCAGCUAAGCUUGGAAGCCAGGAAACUGUUGGUUGACUCUUAUGUUGCUCUCCGAAGGGGAGAUACAACUCCUGGGAGCAGAGUUGCAUAUCGUAUGACAGUUAGGCAGCUGGAAGCAUUGAUCAGGUUGUCUGAGGCCAUUGCUCGGAGUCAUUUGGAAACUCAGGUACAUAUAUUCAUGAAAUAUGUUAUGCAUAUUUCAUUGUUAUGCAUUGUCAUCAUAUAUUCAUGAAAUUAUCCUUCCAGGUACAUCCGCGUCAUGUUCGUGUAGCAGUAAGACUGCUAAAAACAUCUGUAAUCAGGUACGGUACCAGUGAAAUUAUGCCAAAUAUCCUCUCUUCUAAAUGACUGGUGAAGAUGUGUAAUUUGUCUCUUCAUGCAGUGUGGAGUCCAGUGAGAUUGAUCUGUCUGAGUUUCAAGAAGAUAAUCGUGAUGAUGGUGAUGGUGGUGGUGAUGGAAAUGAUGGCAAUGAUCAAGGUGAUGCUCAACCAAGGAACAGGACUCCUGAACCGGCUUCUGGAAUAGCUGGUGCGAUUCAAUCACCUAAAUUCCUUCGAUUUUAUUUUAUAUGACCAUUUUUAAUUAAGGAAAACCUCGCCUUUUUAUUGUCCAGGAAAUGGAGCCAGUUCUGCGAACCGACAAGGGAAAACACUUGUUAUAAGCGAUGAAUAUUUCCAGAGGGUCACCCAAGCCCUGGUAAUGCGCCUUAGACAGCAUGAAGAAUCUGUAAUACAAGAAGGUAACUUCCUGAACCAUCGGUCUUUCAUGUUCAUAAGUGAAUGGUUUGAAUAUAUCAAACAUAAGGUCUUUGGAGAUAGGGUAUUUAGCACAACCGUUAAUCUUCUUCCAAAUAUGAGUUUUUACCACAUUUGGAUGGUCAACACUAGCUGGUGAAUCUGAAGCCCUGCUUCAUGAUUAACCACCAGGACUUGUUCCCACCAUGCAUGAUCCAUUAAUAGUCAUUUUUCUUAAGCAAUUUCUGAGCUUUUUGCCACUUGCAGGGACUGGACUUGCUGGAAUGAGGCAGAAGGAUUUGAUAAAAUGGUAUGUGGAACAACAGAAUGAGAAAAACACCUACAGUUCUAUGGAGGAAGUGAAAAAGGAAGUUUCCAAACUCAAAGCUAUUAUUGAGGUACGAUAGUACUCAUCUUAAUUCUGAUAAACGAAGCUCCAAAUGUCAUAUUUCAACUUAAUAUUGUUUCGUUAAUUAUUUUAAAUAAUCAAAUACUUGCAAUGCAGAGUUUGAUUAGGAGGGAAGGUCAUCUGAUAGUGGUGGAUGAUGGUAGACAAGCAGCAGCGGAAGGUGAAGGGCGCCCAUCUAGAGAUGACAGGAUAUUAGCCGUGGCGCCAAAUUAUGUCAUUGACUGAUAUGCAAAUGGAUCAACAAGUGAGAAGCUACAAGAUCUUUCUACGGUUCAUAAGCUAUCACAAGCUGGACAGCAUGAAGGCUAUAUGGAUAAGAUCUUUAUGGCCAGCAAACUAGAAUCUGAAGCUUAUUACUGUUGAAAGUCCGUCAUGAAAAAGAGUUGGCGUAAAGGUAUUGGAAACACAAGUCAAAGAUUGAUGUGCAUGUUGUAAUCUGGUAAUUUAAGUAAUGUUACUGCUUCAUCGUGAUGAUGUUGGAUGUUGGCUCAUACCAUUAGUUUCUAAUCAAACAAGCUUGUACAAUUUAGAAUGUAACAAGAACAUUGCCUUUGCAUAACUAAAUCAAGUGGGGGCUUCUUCAUUACUUCUCGACUGCAUAUAUUUUCUUUUUCUUUUUCUUUUUCUUUUUAGCUGUCAGAUCCCACCAUGUUUUUUAAAGCUGAGGGAAUCAGGCGAGCCAACACUAGUACUUGAGCUGUCUUGGAUUGGGAAAGGCGGUUAUUUCUUACCAAUCCUUUGUGUUGUUAGUUGUUACAUAGAACAAAAAUCAAAUAUGCUUAGAUUAAUGAGCUUGCUGUCUGGCCCUGAUCUGGCAAUGGCAUUUGCUUCCAAGCUUAUCAAUGGCACGCUUCAUGUGGGUCUGUUCCUAUCUCUGAAUUGUGACAAUCGUUUUGAACAACUUAUUUUCUUGUCGGUGUAUGCAAACCUUUUGCCAGUUGCUACAUGCUACUACUUUCAGCCACGAAUGAGCUGCAGUGCAAGUUUCAUCCAAUUUAUCAUUGUUAUUAUUAUUAUUAUUUGUAAAGCAGUUUUGAGAAAUGUUUGUUCAGAUUUUGGCACAUGUAACUUGAAAAAUGAUCCAUUAUUGUCUAUUCAGUACGUAGACAGGAUGUCAAUUCAUUAGUUGGAUUUGCCUCACCAACAUUUUCUUGUUGAUCGUAUCCAGGGUGAGGCCACGGGUCAGGUAUGCCAAUUGAUUAAUAAAGUGAUUUGAAAAAGAAAAACAAAUGGGUGGGCUUGGUUCUAGUAUCGGGUGAGCCCAGUAAAUUAUGUGGGGACUUGGGCCUACCCUUCAGGCUUCUGAGCUAAAAAAUUAAUUAGCAAACUAAUACAACAGCAGAUAUUAAAAUUUGUCAGGUAAAUUUCACGAACAGAAAAGGAUUAAGAUUAUAUUUAAGUACUCAAAUUUUAUAUUCUGUGAAAUAAUCUUUUGAAAGUUCUAUUAACUCAAAAGAGUUUAGUGGGAACAAUAACAUAGGGCAGGCAAUUAGGUCAAGAGACUCGAACAAACAAGCCUCUAAUUUAUCUGUCAAAACUAGGACAAUUUGUUACGUGUAGCAUUUUUAUCUCUCGAUCGCUAUUCAUUUUUAUAUGCACGAUCAGUUGAAUAAGAAAAAGAAAUGGAAUGUCAAAAUCAAAUGAAAUGCUUAGGUUAGAAAAGUUAACGUAUUAAAGUUGGACUAGAAUAGGCAAAUAAGGUUAGAGAAAGCUAUAAAAUUAAUUACACUUUCAUUUUCAAUGGGAGAAUGAGUCCUUAUCAUUAUCAAUUGAGUUUUGCACUCAAACGCAAUGCUACGUCAUGUUCAUUUUCUUGUUUAAUUAUGCAAUUUUGAAAUGGACUACUUGUAAUCUUGCACCAUUUCAUGUGUUGUCACCUCUAUCCUCAUCCUCUCAACUUGCCCUAAUUUUAAUUUUCCUUCUAAUUGCUCGUACCAACUCCACUUUGCCUAAUUUUCAAGUUCAGAAUAGUCCAAAAAACAAAAUGUUCUUCUUUCCUAUGUACAUAAUUUUCAUACUACCUAUGUGCAAGUGAAUCUGCACAAUAUGAAGAUUCAUUAAUCUACUUCUAUUACAAAAAUAAUUUUCCUUUUUUCUUUUAAUAAUAAUUGCUUACAUUUUUAUUCUGUCAUAUUUAUUAUAAAUUAGUACAUAUAGGAAGGACAUUAUUCUAAUGACACAGGCAUUAAAAUAUAAAAAGAUGAGAAAGAAAGUAAUUGAAACAUUUUGGAUAUUAAAUAAUUUUAUUAAAAUAUGCACUUUUAUUUGGAACUAGGCCAUAGCCCACAGUUUUUUUUUUUAUAUAAUUUUUAUAAUUUUUUUAUUUGUUAAUCCAUAAAUGCCUUUAUUUUAAAGCAAAGUGAAUAUUGUCAAGAUUGGCAACUCAAUUUUGAAAUAUCCAUUGUAGAAUCUUGUCGUAAUUGUUUUAGUUAAAAAUAAGAUUUAAUAGAGUGCUAAUUUUAAAUCUUAAUGUUAAUUUAAUACUCGAUACUGUAAAAUUUAUUUAAAUAUAAUAAGUACUGUUGUUAAUUUAAUACUUGACAUUGUGAACCUAAAUGACUGAAUCAAAGAAGGUGUUGUCUAAUACCUGAUAUCCUAUUAUAAAUAUCUUCUACUCUAUUAAUUCCUUUAUCAGUCAAGACUUCUAAUAUUAUUUCAUACAUGGGAAAAUAAGUACAGUUUCUUUUAUGUAUUUUAAAAAUUGUCAUUUUAUGAAAUUUAUGAUCUCCAACAAAUUAAUUAAAAGCUUUCUUAAGGUUAAAUAAUAAUUUUUAUUUUUUCCCGUUUACAAAAUAAGUAGAACUAUUUGAACUCACCAAAUUUAUCUCUUAACUCAUUUUAGAAAAUACAUUUAUUAUUUAUGAUUUAAAAUUUAAAAAUCUCAAAUUCACCUUUCACUGAUCUCUUUCUCUCUCUCCUCACAAUUGCAAAGUUUCUCUCUAUCCUCACAUUUUACAAACUAAACUUUCAAAUUCACUGUCUUUUGAAUUUUUUUUUUACCUUUUUUAUUAAAUCAUAAUCUCUAUUUCAUGGUUGGUAAAAGUUUGUCGAUGGAUUUUACUUUAUGAUAACAAAACCAAUUAUUUACCCAUAAAAUAAAAUAUGUAAAUAAAUUAAUGAGAAUUGAAGAUUUAAGAAUGAAAAGAGAAGAAAGGGUUAAUUAUAAGUAAUUCUGUUAGAAUUAUUUUGAUAAUAAAAUUCUUAAUUAAAAAUAUGAUGUAAAGAGAAAAUUGAUAGGUUCAAAUAAUCUCAACUUUACUCCCCAUUUAAAAGAGAGAUGGUGAGAGAGAAAAAACAAAAAACAAAAAUAUCAAUACAAGAUUCUCAAAAAGAUUGUCAAGGUUUUGGAUUAUGCUUUCUCAUCUAAUGAGUUUUGAUUUAGUAUCUUAAAGCCAAUAUCAAGAAAUAUCUAGAAGGCAUGUGUUGAAGGAAAGCGUGUGAUCAAUAAUAAUUUGAGUCAACACAAACAAUUCGAAUUCACCAAAUAUAUAUAUAUAUAUAUAUAUCUUUGGUUGUGGAUAAUGAGGCAUCUUUGAAAGCAGGGUUUUUUUUUUUUUUUUGUAGUUAUUAUUUCUUCUAGGUUUCGUAACCAUUAAAUUCAACUUUCCCACCAAAGAAGAACAGAAAAAAGAAAUUCAUCACUUGCCAGAUAAGAAGCUCAUAAAAAUAUAUAAACGGUCAUGGUCAUAAAAUCGACCAAGUAGCCAGAAUUAAUGUCGACAGUCGACACCCAUUCUUCCAAUACAAUUAAAUUUUUGUCUUUUCACUGUUAACACCUGAAGAAUUUAUCAUACAACAAACACGAUACAUGGGCAUCACUUGCUCCUGCUAUAGUUAAUGGGAUGUGUUAACAAUUUUUUUUUUUUCCCCACACAAAAAUCUGCAUGAAGAUUCUUGGAUCUUCUCAAAUAUCGCGACAAAUCUGUAGUCUUGUUUCUUUUUCUUUUUUUUUUUUUUUAAUAAAAUUCCAUAUGCAUUCACAGAAGAAAAAAAAAAAAAAAGGAAGAAGAAGCACAUACGUUUCCAAUUUAUAAAAACCAUGCGUUAUUGUCGAUCAUAAUUGAAGGUAUCGUCAACAAGCAAGUAAUAUAAUAACCCAAAAACACCAACAAAGUGUUGGCUCCACUGGCAAUGGAGUCCCCUUGUGUGGUUUGACUGAGUUUGCUCCCCAGUUCGAGUCGCAGGGAAGUCGCCUUUGUUGGGAGAACAUGUGCCUCUCGGUUCGAGCGGGGACUUAUAGUCUGGGUUGUGGUACGGGCUUAAAGGUGCCUCCCACAGUUGGGGCCCUCCCCAGAAUACCUCGUGGUCAAAACAAAAAAAAAAAAAAAACCAAAAAACCAAACCCGAUAAUAGUCCAAACUUUGUUAACUCAAGAUACCCAAAUGAAUAAUUUUUAUUUUGAUUUGAUAAAUAGUCAUUAAUCCAUUUUUAUUGUCUUCUUACUCUGUUUUUGCUUAAAUUCAAAAUACUUAUUAAGCACUCCACGUGCAUGCAAGCUAGCGAUAUGAUAUCUUGUUGCAUGAAUAUUAUGAAAAAUGUUAAGAGCGUCUUAUGUCGUGUAUGUAGGACCAGAAAUUUUAUCUCAAUCUAAGGAUACUACUUAGGAUUUUUUUUUUUUCUGCUUCUCUUAUGAUUAUUAUUAUUGUUGAUGCGAGAUUCUGGUUGUCCUCGUUCUACGACCAGGGUCUCUGCUCGAUCAACUUCACCACGACCAGGAUCUCUCCUCGUAAAGCUUCUUCUCCAGAGGUUCCUGCGCACACAGACAGGUCAGAGUACGCCGGUUGUUUUCCCGGCGCAAACCCUCCGACGCUCAAGUCAGAAAUAGGGGUUCUGGGAAUGUUUGCCACGAAUCUUAUGGCUUCUUUUUAAUCUCAAUUCUCGGAACUUUCUUUUCUUAGUUCUAAUAGCAAAAAGUCUAACCCUUUUACCUUCGCUGGCUACCUUUUUAUAGGCUUCCUCUGAAUCCCAGUCUUCCGUAGUCCACACCCAUUAUUCUCCCCACCCUCGGAUGUGGAUGCCCCAUUGUAGUCAUUGUGGGCGAAUGGAGAUGGUCUUCGUGCCUUGAUUCUCGAAUAGGAAUGUACGUCUUGCCAACUGUCGUUGACCGGGUCUCCUCGCCUCGACUCCUAGCAGGAAUGGCCUUAUGCCUCUAACGGGAGUUCAUCCUCAUGAAUGGCAUAUUCGUGGACAAGCAGAAUAUUCUUGCUGCUGCUCCUCUGCUACCAGGCUCUUACAGAACACACCUGUUCGCAGAACUCUACUACCCAAUAUCUGCUCAUCACGUCUGGUCUCGUCGAAGUAUUUCUCUGAAACAAUUAUUAUUUUUUUCAAGUGCAUAAGCUAUUGAAAAGAUCGAAAAUUUGGCAACUACGUUCUAGCAUGUAAUAGAAUUUUCAAAAUUUAGGAUAACAUAGGGGAAUAUUUUAUUAUUUUUGAAAAAAUUGAAAAUAGAAUUAUUAGUCAAUUGACGGCUUUGAUUGUGAAAAAUUGCUCCAGCGAAGCCAUGUGAGAACAGAUCAACAUCAGUAUUAGAAACCUAUUGAAACUGGCCCCACUUUAUGAUAAUUCUGCCACCUUUGAUUGAAGUGAUUGCCAGCUCUCCACACUCCCCAUUUUACCCCUGGAAUUUUACACUUAUUUCAAGCCUAUCGGGGGCAUUUAUAAUAUUGUUUUUAAUAAUUGUUUUUUUUAUGAAAAUUAUUUUUUAAAAUGAUACUUCAAAAAAAAAAAAAAAGAAGUUUCCAAAUUACAUUAAACACCAAAUUGAAUACGUUUCUUUUUCUUUUUAAACUUGUUUUAAAAAAAAUUACUGAAUAAUCACUUAAUUGUUCGAAAUCAUUGUCAAUUCAAGUAUAACAAAUAAAUUAAUGGGAGAGUUGGCUAACAUGAGAAUUUUUUUAAACAAAAAAGUUAUGCGUAAAAUUCUCUAAUUUUAAAUUGAGAGGGAGUUACUAAAAAAAAGAAAAAUUUGCAAGGCGGGCAUAAAAUUGGAUAUAUAAAACUCAAAAGGGUAUAUUUGGAAAAUAAUUAGGAAACAAAAGGGUUUUUUUAAUAAAAAAAAAGAAAAAAGAAAAUGGGUAUUGAAUGUGUAUACGAUGAUGCCACGGUCAUAAAAUUAGGAGGGACACACGGUUGGCUCAAAACAGUUGCAUUGAGGUAGACUUUUAUUGAAGCCUUGGGGAGACAGACAGCCAGAGGAAGGAGAGUUAAAAGAAGUGAGUGCAUAGCUAUUCAGAUUCUUUUAGCAAACUUCUGCUUGCUGCACCAAGCCACCAACUCAACUCAGGUUUCUCUCUUUUUAAUUAUUUCAAUUUUUAUUAAUUUGAUUUGGUCCCCACAAAUUUUAUUUAGCUGUUUGCUUGUUGAUUAGAUUUUUCUUUCAGAGGGACUCAUUUGAUUGGAAAAAAGAAGAAAGAUGGGGUACUGGAAAUCCAAGGUCCUCCCAAGGAUCAAGAAAGUUUUCGAGAAAAACGGAACCAAGAAAGCUGCUGCUGCUGAGGCUUGCAAGUCCUUUGAUGAUUCAAAGGUUGUCUUUAUGUAUAUGUACAUAUGUGUCCUUUUUAUUUAUUUAUUUUGCUUGUUGUUUAAUUAACAAUUAUGUUGAGCUUGCUAUAUAUGCGCGUUUGUAGGAAGAAAUCAAUAAAGAGUUUGAAGAGAAGAAGCCUGAGCUCCAACCUAAAGUGGUCGAAAUCUAUGAAGCUUCUUCAGCUGAAAUCAAGGUCUCUACAUGAAUGAACAUACCAAAUCUGUUAUAGCUACAAAUGUCAGAGAGAAUUAAAAAGAUCCAAUUCAUGCAAGUUUUUAUUUAUUAAUUUAACCUUUUUUUUUUUUUUUGGCUUUGGCUUUGGCGUUUAAAUGAAAAUACAGACCCUGGUCAAGGAUCGCAAGGAGGAUGGACUUAAGAAGCACUCCACUGCUGUGCACAAGUUACUUGAAGAACUCGUUAAAAUCGGUAAAAUAGUUCUAUCACAUAUGGUAUUAUUAAUUAAAGUUAAGGUCAUGUGUUAAAAUCACAUGAGAAUUUUAUUAACAUAUAUGUAUGUGUGUAUAUACAGAGUUUCCAGGAUCAAAAGCAGUAAGUGAAGCAUCGUCAAAGUUUGGGGCAGCCUCUGUUCCGGGGCCAGUUUUCUUCAUAUUUGAGAAGGUCUCAACGUUUAUUGUUACUGAAGAAAAAGCAGCAGAGCCAGCAACCGCGGCAGCAGGAGAAGAAACAAAACCAGAACAAGAGACAACAAGUAGUAGUACCGCCGCAGUCACAGAGAAGGACGACGUAGUUGUUGAGGAAGAGAAGAAAGAAGAGGCCCCCGCCGGCCCUGAGAAAACUGAGCCGGCAGAAGCCGCCGCCGCCCCAGCCCCAACUGAGCCUCUUCCUGCCGCCGCCAAGGAGGACCAACCAGCUGCUGCAGAGCCACCAAAGCCUUGAGAACAUGCAUCAACUGACAAGACAAAUUCAUAUCCAUAUAUACAUAGAUAUAUAUUUCAUAUUCAUCAAGUGAAAGUGAAGUAAUAAUGUUAAUAUUUUGUGUACGUAAAAGUCUUGUAAAAUGCAAAACAUGAUUUGUUAUUCUUUCUUUUUCCUCUAUAUGCGCAUGUAUAUCACCUACUUGUUUUUUUUUCCCUUGUAUUAUUUUGUUUUACAGUCUUUAUUUUUACUUUCUUUAUUAUUAUUAUUUUUUGUAUUUGUGAAUUAUUAUUAUUUGUAAUAUUUAAUUUUUACAAUACAGGGAUUAAUGUGGUGGGUGGAGAUACCCUUAACGCUUUAGUUGCUUUCAUUGAUUUGAUUGUAUGUGUUUUCCUCAUGGAGAUCAUUUAAAAAGAGAUAGGCAAAAAAAAAAAGAAAAAAGAAUAUUGAUGAUGAGAAGUUAUUUGUUUAUAAUUAAUAAUUCCAAGCUCCCUCUUUCUCGCUAUUUAAUUUAUAAGUGUGUAAUGUGCUCUCUUGACCUACACUUGUGUGUUUCAUUUAUAUAAAUGGGUUGGUGAGGGAAAGAAUUAAAUGUGACUAAUAACGCAAAAAAUAAAUAAUACUUGGGUUUUACAGGGAUGAUUAUUUGUUUACCUUUACAUUGAAGAACUAAAACGAUAUAAUAAUAAUUAUGCAAUGAAGAGGGUCAAAGAUUUUUCUUCUCUUGUGCUUGAAAAUUUCCUUGUCAUUCGUUCUUCUUUUGUUGGUUUCUCUUAUCCUCAUGAAUGGAAAUUUUUUCUCAUUAUUUUUCCUCUCAAUAGCCUACUAGUACUUGUUUUUUUUUUUUCUGAAGCUAAAUUCCAUCACUAAGAUUGUUGAUAAACAAUUAGUAACGACCAAUUAUGAUACUACUUUUGGUCUUUGGUGUGCAACUAUACAUGCACAUAGAUGGAAAAACCUGUAACUCCAUGCUCAUAUAUAUGAUGCAAACGCUAAUUUGGA
rnacentral:lncRNA from 1 species